rnacentral:lncRNA from 1 species
UCCGCAGUGGCAGGUGGCAGCGACACACUUGGGGCAAUAGGGCAGUGGGGCAGUGGGGCUGGCCAAACCGCCUCCGUGUUUGCAGCGGUGCUGCUGCUCUUCCCUUCCGCCCCGGGUGUGUCGCCCGCUCACACACUAGCUCGCUCACUCUGUACCUUCCCCCUCAGGGCGGCUCCCGCGAGCGCUACGCGGGCACUGAGUUCGGUCCCUCCAACCUGGUGGACAAGGAGAAGCUGGACAUCGUGGUCAGCAGGUGGGGGGCCGGCAGCAGGGGGGGAGGGAGGGGGCGGGGGGGCCUACGUAUGAUGAGAGCAGCAAGAGGAGGCAGCAAGCCCGGGAGGGGGGCUGGAUGCAGGGGCGCAUGCGGAGGCUGCUGCGCGGAGGCUGCUGCGCGCUGCCCGCCUCAACUGAAGGGGAUGUCGUGAAGGCUGUGCAGCGGCCGCCGCAGCCCCUGCCCGUACCGGUACCACACCCCGCGCCCCAACACACAGCCCAACACGCCCUCACCUCCACAUCCUUUCACACGCCCCAUCUCCCGCCAAACACACACGCACGCGCACACACACGCACGCACACACGCACUGGUCUCCCCCCCCCCCGCACAGGGCCCAGGUGGACGCGGUGGUGCGGCUGGUGGCGGCCAGCGCCUACACGGGCGAGAUCGGCGACGGCAAGAUCUUCGUGCACCCCGUGGCGGAGGUGGUGCGCAUGUGAGUGGCGGGGGCCGGGGGAGGGAGAGGAAGACAGGUACAGGGCGGGGAUGGGGCAGGGGGCGGGCGGGGGCGGGCGGGGGCGGGCGGGGAUGAGAGGCCAGAGCGGGGUGGUGACGCCCAUGUCCUAGGCAAGCUGGCGCACCGAGGGGAGGGCUGGAGACGGGAAUGCUGGCAGGCCCAAGCGGCCUGGUACCCAAGUACCCACCUUAUUGGUGUGGGCGGAGCGAGGGCAGGAACAGGGACGGAGUGGGGGCGGGGCCAGGGUGGGCGAGUGCAGGUGUCGCGGUCAGGUGGGUGGUGGGGUGGGUGGUGGGGUGGGUGUGCACCAGGCGCUGUGAGAGCUGUGGCGGGGCCUGCAGUGCGGUCGGGGGGAGAGGAGCGGGGUGCGGGGCGGGACAGGGCCAAGGCACCCGCUGCCAUCUGGCCACACACGCCGUCACCGGGCCAGACCCCGCGUCCUCGUCCCCUGCUCGACCCGCCACCCCCUUGCCUUCGCUUGUCCAUUUCGCUGACUGCCGACACCCGCCACACCCGCCCUCCUCUCUGGUUGCUAAUCCCUCGUUUCUGGCCCCCCUCUGUGUCUCCCCCUCGCCACAGCCGCACUGCCGAGACUGGGCUGGAAGCUGAGAAGAUGGAGGGCGGCAUGGAGGACAUGAUGAAGAAGAAGAAGUAGAGCGGGUGGAGGAGCUGCAGGCGGAGGCGGGGGGGGAGCUUGAGGGCGGGAGCAGUGGUGGAGGAGGAGUCCGGCUUGAGCUAGAGGUGGACUGGGGGACUGGGGGGCUGGGGGACUGGAGUGGGAGGCGCGUGCAGCAUACUGCACGUGUUGGGGUGAAGGGGGAUUGGCCGCAGGGUGCACGGGGCGGAGACUGUGGCGUGGGGUCACUGCGGCGGGUGCGGGCGGGACUCGAGCCGAUGACUGCGCUGGAAGCGGCGAAGGUUGGGGCGGCAGGCAGAGCUGUGGCGGCCGUGCAGGGCGCUCGGGGCAGUGGUGGGCCGCUUUGAGGAGGCCGGCACGCGGCAGGCCAGGGGUGGGACCGGGUGCGUGUGGGCGCAAGCGCGCAGGCCGCUGGAUCGAUGGGCGUGCCGGGGCGGAUCUUGCAUCAGCAGCGUGGGCGUGUGCUGGAGAUGGGCGUGUGUGCAGACCUCGUCAAUCAGUGCUGUAAAUACAGGACACCGGGUCUGCUACUGCGGCUACUGCGGCGUGGCGGAAUGCACUGAUGAGCUAUAACUGUGAGUACCGCUGUACUGCUUGGGUUUGCGUAGAUGAUGUAGUGGGCAAGGCCAGUCCUCGCGCGUUGCGACUUUUAAGCUCGCGGUCUUAGUGCGGCAAUGGCUACAACAGGCGGCCAGGUAGGGCCAAGUCAGCAGUCUCCGCCCAGUGCACGAAUACCCUGUGCAGGAGGUCUUGCAGGUGCGAGCAGCACAUCACUGCAGCCACUCCCACUGCGCCGAAGGGCCCGUGGUGGCGUGCCGCCCGUCGGGGGCCGGGUGCCCGUGACGCGUCGAUCUGUCACGGGUCGCAUCUUGCACAGCCCUGUAAUACUGAGCUUCGAUGCGGAAGCGGGCUACCUUGACCAAUCAAAUAAACACCGGCUCUGUGGGCUGGUGUAUGGUUUGGCGGCUUCAGGCGGCUUACACGUGUUCGGCGGCCUCGGCAUCGGCGGUGAGGGCGCUGGCCGCUCGCGACUGAGCUCGCAAUCGCACCCGACCGCGAAAGAGCGGAGCGGCGGGAUGAAGCUGACUCGCGCGGAGUCGUUUGAGGAGCUGGGGCUGCAGGUGCGUGCGUGCGUGCGCGCGAGGUAGGUCCAGUGCGUCCCGGGCUUCGGCCCGCUUCGGCCGAUCCCAGGGCCCCUGCCAGCGCUGUGUCCGCCGUAGCUCUGUGCCCUCGGCCCCCCCUUUACUGGAGGCCACCAUUCCCCUUUCCCGUCUGCGGCAGCCUAGCGCCGAUGUUGAGGAAGUGCGGGCGGCUUACAAGCGACUGGCACUGCAAUGGUAGGUGAGGCAGAGGGCAAGGCAGAGGGGUGUGCACGUGCCCGAGCCCAACAGCAUGCUCGCAGCAAGCCCGUGCUUGCCAUUUGGGCCGGGGCCCCGUGUGUCCUUCCGCAGCCACCCCACUCCUCAUCGGCAUACACUCGCUCAGCCAUCGCUCGCCCCCCCCCCUUGUGAGUUAACCCCUCCGUUGUCGACAUGAACGGCCCGCCCCCCACCGGGCAGGCACCCCGACAAGCACCCUCCCGAGGCGCAGCAGGCCGCCACCUCCCGCUUCCAACGCAUCAGCGCUGCCUAUGCCUGCCUCAGCCGGGUGCGGGGGUGCGGGGGUGCAUGUGCGUGGGUGGCGCCGCAACCGAAGGGCUUAAGGCGAUGUGACAGGGCAAGGGAAGCGUAGUCGGUGUCCCGGGAAACAAGUCACGCCCGGCCCAGGCGCCGGUGAUGCAUGGAGGAAGACACGUCACCCGGCGCCACAGACUGCCCGAGCCCCCGUUACCAGUACCGCGAGGGCUUGAGAGGUCUGGGUUUGCCUAGCGUGCGCCGGCUCCAGGGCACAAGCAUGUGCAAUUGUGCAUGCUCACCUGCUGCGGCUGAAGUUGUAAUCCCUUGCAUCCCUUCAUCCACCCGGCUAUCCAUCCCCUGUCCUUGCCGCGCCACAGCCUCUCCACGGCGGCCCCGGCGGCACGGGCGGGUACGACCAGGGUGACGACGACGACCCUGGCGACGGCUUUGCCGAGUUCAUGGCGGCACAGAUGCGGAUGCGCGAGGCCGCCAUGUUUGCAAGGUGGGGGGCCAGCUGCGUGCCUGUGGUGGUGUGGGAGGUUGACUGAUAGAGGCGCGGCCCGGCACUGGGGUGGGGCCAGAAAGUGAGCACGCAGGGCACUGUGAGGGAGGCCACAGUCGGGUGCGGCUGGUUCGAGCCGGCAGCGGUGGUGCGGAGAUGAGGUCGUCAUGCGGUGAUGGCGGUGAUAGAUGCCGGAUCGAGGUGAUGGCGGGGUGCGGCGGGAUACCGUGUAUACAGCUGCGCUGCUAGACGGCGAAUGAGGUGCAGACGCCCGGACGACGUGCCCCAUGCAGGAUGUUCGGCGGCGGGCGGGGCCCGCGCUUCCCCUUCCCCUUCCCGCCUUUCUUUCCCUUCGGCUUCCGUGCCCGGCCGCAGCCGCCGCCGUGGGCCCGGGGCGGCAGCUAUGGCUAUGGCAGCGACAGCGACAGCGACGACGGAGGCUGGAGCAGCAGGGCCCGGGGCCGGCCCCACAGCCCGCCGCCGCCGCCGCCGACGUCCAAGGAGGGGCUGCAGGAGCGGUGGCGGCGGGCGGUGCUGGCACCACAGGCGCGGCCGGCGGCAGUGCGGCAGGUGCGCGCGGCGGUCCGUUGGCUGCUGCCUGGUUGUGGGUGAGGUGGUUGUGGGUGAGGUGGUUGUGGGUGAGGUGGUUGUGGGUGAGGUGGUUGUGGGUGAGGUGGUUGUGGGUGAGGUGGUUGUGGGUGAGGUGCCGGCAGCUGGCUCAUAUGAGCAUGAGCAUGCGGCGCCGUACUCAUGACAACGACACAGCACCACACGCCACGCUGACCCGCACUCCCCUGGCUCUCCCCUGGCUCUCCUCCCGUCACCUGCCGUGUGCCUCGCUCCCCGCGGCUGCGGCGGCGCCUGACCUCGCAGGUGGCCUCCGGGCCCUCCUGGCUGGAGGUGGAGCUGGGCGGACUGCCGCCGCCGCCAGCUGACCUGAGGCGGACUCGCAGGGUGGGCAGCUGGAAGGGGGACCACUGGGGUGUGGCAGCAGGCCUUGAGCGCAUGCGCUAUUGGCUGCGUGACCUGACCUGGCGUCUCCUGACCUGACCGCGUGCCCUGCCCGUGUGUACCGUAUGCGUCCGCCUCACGCACGCACGUGUCCUGUGCCCCCCCUGCAGUCGGACCUGCCCACGGGCCUGGCGGUGCAGUACGCAUCGCGACCCCUGCAGCAGCGACAGCAGCAGCAGCAACAGGACGACGGAGGGCCCGGGGGAGAAGGGGCGGCGGCAGCGGCGGCAGCAGAGGAGACACUACACAGCGGCAGGCAGCAGCGGGGCGGCGGCGGGGGUCGCGGCAACAAGGCGGGCAGCAAGAGCAAGGGGGGAAAGGGGCAAAAGCGGCACAAGGGCGCGGGUGCUGCUGGUGCUUCUGGUGCUGCUGGUGCCGCUGCGGGUGCGGGUGAUGGUGGUGGCGGUUGGCGCAGCUGGGACAGGGCGGAGGUGCUGUCGCAGAUGCGGCUGAGCGGCCUGGACCCAGGUGGGUUAGCAUGGGGGUGGGGGCUGGGGGUCUGUGAGAGAGCUGGGGUGAAGCCGCAUGUAUGAUAGCAUGAGUGUGUGAGUUUUGACUUUACAGUGUGCAAUUGUGGCUCCCGUGUCCCAUCUGACCCACAUGCACGCACUCACACAAGGCCGCUGUGGCCCCACCUGUGCGCACCCGACACACACACACACACACACACAGGCACGGUGUACGAGGUGCGUGCGCGGCUGUGUGUGACCCGCACACACACCUGGAGUGACGCGGACGAGUGGAAGCCCUGGGGCGCAGUCGUGCUCAUGACCACGGCGGGGCAGGCGCCGGCACCACCGCAGACAGCGCCGCCGCAACAGCCGCCGGCGCCACGGCCGGUGCCGCCGCCUGCUGGUGGGCAGCACGAGCCGCAGGAGGGCAGGUCGGGUCCGGCGCAGGGGGCGCAGGAGCAGGAGAAAGAGGAGGCGCAGGAGGAAGAGGAGGAACAGGAGGAAGAGGAGGAGGAAGACCACGAUGACGUCUUGCGGUGGUUCCGCAUGCGAGGUGGUGCAGCGGCUGCGACGGCAGCGCAGCCAAAGCGUGAGCGCGCGCCGCCGCAGAAGCCGCGGCCUCAGCCGCCCCCACCGCCGCCGCCGUCCCAACCGGCGCCGUCAAGUCAACAGCAGCGGUCGCGUCAGGAGGAGUCGUAUGAAGAAAUCGAUGCGGAGGCCGUGGAAGAGCAGGCGGCGAGGGCAGCGGGGCGCGCCUACCCAGGCGGCGGCGGGGCACAUGCCGCUGCCUAUGCCACCAGUGGCAGCGCCACCACUGCCGCACCGCCUCCGCUACCGGCUCCGCCACGGCCGCCACCGGCACAGCAGCAGGCGCACCCCCAGGCGCACCCGCAGGCGCUGGGCAACAAGGAUUGCAGGCACGUGCGUCCACGACGCGCACCCGCGGAGUGCCACCUGGAAAUGCUUGCUCGGCCCGGCCUCGGCCCAACCCCCCACAUCCACCCGCACGCGCUGCUCCAGGCACUGCACCACGUCUCCCACUGCCUCCCAAGCCUCCCAAGUGUCCGUGUUAACCGCCGGCACCGACCCCGUCCGCUUGCCCCUGCCCCUGCCCCUGUCCCUGUCCCUGCCAGGCACUGGCUGGGCAAAGGCCGCUGCUUCAUGGGCGGCAAGUGCCACUUCAGGCAUGACCCGGUGCGUGGGGCCUGGGUGGGGCCUGAGGAGUGGCAGCUGCAUGCACUGUGCGUGUGCGUCCAUGGCGGCAUACCCAGAACCUGCCUGCGGUACGGGGCGCCAGGAACAGCAUGCUCACACAUGCGUGUCAACUCAGUCACGUGCCGCUAGCUAGCCAUCCUGGUGCCGGUGCCUUAGACCUCGGCCGAUGACCCCGCUUGCGCCUCCCCACGUGCUGCACCCGGACCCACCACCACUCAUUUUAUGCCGCUUCGCGCGCCGAGGCACACCGCACCGCACCGCACUACAACUCCCGACAGGACAAGCGCGGUGCCGCCAAGAGCGAUGCAGCGGCAGCCCCGGCGGCAGCGGGCGCAGAGCAGUACGGCGGCGGCGGUGGGGCUCACCGGGUGCACGGGGAGUAAGAGGCGCCGCCCCCCUCCUAUAACUUCGGCUCAGGGGCUUCCGGGCUCUGACGCCGACGGGGCCUGGCUGCCGCCGUCGGACUGGAGCCUGUGGGAGCACCUGCCAGUGGGAUGGGGGGAGGGCGGUGGAGCAGGCCUGCGAGGGCGGGGCGGGGCGCUCUCGACUGAACGGCUGCCGGCCCAAGGGCGGGAGCGGCCGGGCGAGUGGGGCGGCACCUAUGGCGGUGCAGUGCAGCCGGGGAGUCGAGGCCUGGUCGAGGCGGCGGCAGCGGGCAGGGGCCGGGGUUGGUAGUAGUCGUUGCUUGGAGGGUGUGCGAGGGUGGAUGCGGGAUGAGGGCUGUGCUGCUGUCUUUGAAUUGUUUACGCCGGCAGCAGCAGCAGGCGCCCCCGCCUCAGCCUCAGCUUGUGACUCCUGGCACACGUGCGUGCGGGUGUGUGAUGGGACAGGGUUUAGGCAGGUUGGCGAGGUCCCGUAGUGUGCAGCUGACGCCCAUACCCCAAGCAGACAGCAGACAGUUAGACGUGCGUGCGGGGUUUGAGGCGGCGGGACGUGUGUUGCGGUGCGGAGCGUUAGUAGUUGUGUCAGGUACUGCGUGGUGGUGAUGGUUUUCACCAUUCCCAGUUCGCUGCGAGCGUGCGGGGCGGGAGUCUGCGGAGGCGUGGCGAUGUAGGCGACUAGUGCUGCACUGCUACUGAUGCAGCGAUGGCACUCGCCGUAGCCAUCGUGGAAACGCUUUUAAUUGUGACAGAGCGUUACAGUGCGGCUCGGUUUCGUCCCCACCCCAGUGCUUGUAGUCACGCCACAUACACAUACAAUGCGCUGCACACCACGCCAACCUGCCCAUUACCCUGUCCCACCGCUCGCACUCACAGCGGUCGUGUCCGCUGCUCAGCCCCGCUGCAGCCGCUGCGGCCGCGUGCUGCCGCGCCCCCCGACCGGUCAGGCACCCAGCACUGCACGCCCUACCUCACACCGCCGCCACAGCCGCCGCCCCCGGGUUGCCCAGGCGCUCGGCCAGCUGCUCUGCACACCGCAUCUGGAUGUAGAUGGCUAGACCGUCCGCCCCCACACCACCCACACCUGCGCCCGCCCCCGCCCCCGCGCCGUCCGCCACCCGCACCAGCCCCUCCGCCCGCAGUCGCGCCGCCGCCCGCUGGCUCAGCGCCGCCACCGCCGCCAGCUCGCGCCGCCACUGCGCCGCCGUCAGGCGAGCCCCCGCCCCCGCCUCCGGUUCGUCGUCCUCCGCGUCCUGCCGCUCGGCCUCCCCCGCGCCCUCAUGCGCCUCUGCCCGCCGCGCCUCCUCCUCCGCAUGCCGCCAUCCUGCCGCCGCCAGCGCCGCCACCAGCAGCGGCAGCCCCACGCGGCCCGGCAUCUGGCUGUUGAGCCGCAUGCAGCGCAGGCCCCAGGCCCAGUGCCCGCCGCCGCCCUCCUGGCCCUCCUGGCCGCCCUCCUGGCCGCCGCCGCCCUGGGGAUCCUGGUCGCCCAGCAGGUAGCGCAGCGCGGGCGAGGCCAGCACCUGGUGGGGUGGGGGGGUGGGGAGGGGAGGUGAGGUGAGGGGGGAGGCCGAGUGGGAGCGGCAGGGUGAGAUGCUUGGGAUAGGGUGGGGUGGUUGAUGGCGCGUCGGGUGGGCACAUGAAGAGAGGGCGGGCGGGCGCGAGUCCCGCUACCCUGUACGGUGUACGGGACCAGUCCGGCACACCCACCGGCGGCGGAGAGUCCUUCACGCCCCCAUCCAUGUAGUGCGCCGCCAGGGCCGCCAGCGCCGCCACACCGCCGCCGCCGCCACCAGCACCCGCGACCGCUGCACCGGACAGCUGCCUGCAGCGUGUGUGACAGCAGGACGUUGGGGGGCAGCCGGGUGAGCAUGCGUGCAUGGUGGUGCAGGCCGCGACUCCCAAGCCAAGUGAAGCAGCUGACAUGUCCAUACCGGUACAUAUGCCCCGACUCAUAGACAUAUAUAUAUAUAUAUAUAUAUAUAUGUGUGUGUGUGUGUGUGUGUGUGUGUUAAAGAGCACAAGGAAAACAUUACGCGUAGGACAGUGUGUGUGUAUGUGUGUGUGUAUGUGUGUGUCCACCCCGCGGCCCUGCACUCACUCCUCCGCCGCCUCCACCACCAGGUAGCUCAGCAGCCGCACACAGCUGGCGGCAGGCAGGCAGGACAGCAGAGCCUGGGGGAAAGGCGGCGUGUGUAUGGUUGUGUUUGUUGAUGGCUGGGUCGGUGGGCAGUGGGUUGGCACGUGUGUGCAGGGGCGUGCAGGGACACCAGCAGCGCAGCAGACACAGCAGGCGCCGCAUCCCUCGCCAGUGGCAUGUACUGGCAGACAUAGCCCCUGGGCUGUGCUGCCCGCUGUACCUGGUGUUCUACUCCCCUUCCCCCACUACGCAACCCCUUGCACCCUCCCUCCCUCCCUCCCUCCCUCCCUCCCUCCUUCCCUCCCUCCCUGCCUCCCCCCCGCCUACCUGCACGUUGUCAGGGUUGCCGUACACGGCCUCCUUGCCCACCACCUUGGCCAGCCGCCGGUCCAUCUCCACCCGCUCAUUGCUGCGGCGUGAGUGUGAGUGUGUGAACGCGUGUGUGGUUGUGCGUGCUUAUGUGUAUGUGUGCAUCUGCGUUGACUCAUGCGCGUGUGCCGGUAGUGGUGGGGUCUGUCACGGUGGUAGUGGAGAAGGCCGGACGGUGGCUGGGUGGGGCGGGGCGGAUGGUGGUGGAGGGGGGCAUGCCCCACUGGCACGUGCCGGGGCCGCAGCGUGCACAGCACCCAGCUGAUCUGAAUGGCUCACUCGCACUCCCGUCCCCGGCCUGCCUUCCCCUUCCCCCUUGAGCCACCCCCCUCUGCCCCACGCAGCGCGCCACUCACUAGGCCACUGCCGCCGACCGCCGCCGCGAGUAGCCGUCCGCCGCCUCCAUCGCCGCCAGCCCGCCCGCCAGGCAGCCCAGCAGCCGCCCAGCCAGGCGCCCCACCUCGCCCGGGCCCCCCGCCACCAGCAGCCGCGAGGCCACCACCGGCGGCACCGCCACAACGCCCCCAGGUCCGCCGGGCCUUGCCCCCGCGCCGCUGCUGCCAUGCCCGCCCGGCAGCGGCAGCACCGCCCCCGCCCGCGCCCCCAUGGCUCCAUACACGGCUGUGGAGGCCAGCAGCCGCACCAGCUUGGGCUUGGCGUUGGUCUCGUACUGCCAGCCCAGGUUGAGGUCCGCGGUCUGGGCAAGGCCAAGUAGGGAGUGGGGGAGGGUGGGUGGGCGCCGUGGACACAGGACGCGAGGCGCAUUGGCAGCAUUAGGUGGCAGGGAGUGGGCAGCGUUUGCCCGGUCACGAAUUCCGGUGCUGUGCGGCAUCCGGCAUUGCAGCAGCACCGCCGGCCCCCACCGUUUGCUGUCUCUCAUCCCCAUCCCUAACAACAGGUGACUGCCUCGCGCCUGCCUUGCCCCUUACUGGCUCACUGCAUGCUGAGAGCACCCCCCACGGCUCUAAGCCCCAACCCCCGACCCCCAUCCCAUGCGGUACGCACCUUGAGCAGCCGCAGCAAUAGGCUGCCAUCCACCGCCGCCCGCGCCUCCGCCUCCUCCGCCUCGCCGCCUGCCUCCGCGGCCUCCUCCGCGCGCCCCCUGGCCCCCAGGCUGCUGUGUGCCGCCUGCAGCCGCACCUCCAUGUCGGCACACAGCAUGCGGACCCAGUAGCGCAGCAGCAGCAGCUGGCCCACGUCCCCGCACUCGGCCGCGUCUGGAGGGGAGGGGGGGGGGCAGGGCGAGGGGGAUGGCGGCGGUCCUCUUCAGGGCAGGUGGAUGGAAGAAGCAGAGGUGCGCUGAUGGUGCUCUGUGUGUGUGAGUGUGUGUGUAUGUGUGUGUGCGUGAUUGUUUUAAAACGGCACGCAGAUGAGACCCGCCCAAAUGCCGGAUCAUUUACGGAUACCCAUCAAGCACCAAAAGGAUGAACACGCCGACUGCUCUUUUGUAGCCAUAGUUACCUCCGCUCCAAGUGCGCCAUAAACGUGUUUCGUGUUUCAUGUUUCGUGUGUGUGUGUGUGUGUUUGUGUGUGUGUGUGUGUGUGUGUGCGGUGUGUGUCACACUGCAAGGGGUGCUCAACCCGCAAGUACACCCCGCUGCCCCCUGCUGUUGCCUGCCCAACUUUCCCCUGCUCACCCUUGUCUGACGCCCGCGGCAGUGCCGGGUGCCCGGCCGCCUCCACCGCCCGCGCCACGCAGUUGUGUGCGCCGCCCGCCAGCAGCAUCAGGCCACGCAGCUGCUGCAGCCCGCGUGCCAGUCGCGGCAGGCCACACAGAGGAGCGCGCGUCCAGGUGCUGCGGAAGCACCAGCAGGGGCGUGUGUGUGUGUGUGUAUGUGUGUGUGUGUGUGUCCGGUGGGACAGAAUCAUGGGAGCGAGGGGCGAACGGCAACAGGCGGUAUCGCUGUGACAGGUGCGGCAGCAAGAAGGGUCAUGGCUCACCGCAAACGCAGCAACGCGCCUAUGCAGCGCCCAUGCAGCUCCCAGCCCGCUGCGCCCAGCCCGGCCGCACUCACCCCGACACCGGCUCCCACAGGUCGGGGUUCACCUCCAGGUGGGGCCGGCGCGCCGACCCCGCGCCCCCUGCCCCACCACUGCCCUCCUGCUGCUCCUCCUCGUCCUCCUCAUCUCCGCCUUGGUCCCCAACACCUUAACGGCAUCGGCAAGCGGGACAUGAGGGGUGCAGUAGCAGGGAGGAAUGCGGGUGGAUGCCAAGAGCCGGGGACCAGAGCACGUACCGCAGGCGGCAGCACCACCCAGCUGCCACACGCAGCUCCCCCUGCUCCCGCCCCCCUCCCCGGCCUCACCUGGCUCCGGCGUGCCCCCCACCCCCACCAGGCGCACGGGCGGGUGGCGCUCCAGCAGCCGCUCCAGAAGGCUGGGGGUGUGGGGGAACAGGUGUGGGGGAGGAGGUGGUGUAGGGGAGCGGGAGGUGGGGCUCAGGGCGCGGAGGCAGGCGUAGCCUAAGGAGUGCGGGGACAGGUCGCGGGGGCGGCGGCACAGCUGCUUCCCACUGGCACCCGGUGCUGGCGGUCUGGUCCGGGGUCCGUUUGGGGGCGCGCCCAUGUGCUGAGACCCCUGGACUCAAUUCCCACUAACCGUAUCACGACAACCCGAAAACCCAGUACAUAUUCAGUUGUUACGCGCUUUUGUGUCCCCCGUGGAUGGCUGCCCCCGCCCGCCGCCCCACCUGAGCGCCCUGGCGGACAGAUGUGUGCGGUGCGCCUCGGCGUUGAGCACCAGGUGCAUCAGGGCCUCCUGCACGUGCCUGGGGGGCAGGGGGGGAGUGUGUGUGUGUGUUGAGGGGUGGGGGAGCCAGAGCGGAGGGGGUCAGGGGCGGCUGACAGGGCGGUCAGGCGGGCGUGGUGCACCGCGGGCCGGCAGAUGCAGGUGCGGGUGCGGGUGCAGCUGCGGGAGGCAGAGGGUCGCGGGCAGCCACCUGCCGAGUCUCCCUACGGGCCUGCGGGCCUCCGGGCCGGCACAAGGACAAACACACCCUCUGCAGUCUGCACCCACUGCGCCCCCCCCCCCCCGGCGGCACCCACUUGGGCGCGGCUGUGUCGGGCGGCAGCAGCAGCGGCUCCAGCAGGUCCAGGCAGUGGUGGCCUGCAGGAGGAGGGGGGGGAGGGGUAGGGAGAAGGAUGGGGAGGGAGGGUGGACGGGUAGGUGGGGGGGGAGGGGGGAGGUGGAUGCAUAGGGGCCGGAGUGAUGAGCGUGGUGGUGGUGGUGGUGGUGGUGGUGGUGGUGGUGGUGAUGAGAAGUGGUGACUGGGCCGUGUCUGGUGCCUAUGACCCAGUGCCAGCAGGCGGCGUCACUUUCAAGGUGCAAGCCAGGUCACCGGUCCCCUCGCACAUAGCUCACCGUUCUCCUCCCAGACCCUCGCCGCCUCCGCCGCCGCCGCCGCCUCCGCGCCGGCCAGGGCCUCCUUCACCGCGCCACCGCCCGCGCCGUCGUCGUCGGCCGCCGCACCGCCGCCGCUGUUCCCCGCCCUGCAGACCCAGACCCACACAUCACGGCUUAGUCACGCCUGCUAGUUACCGGUAGCACCUGUGCCUGCAACAAGGGCAGCUGUCCACGCGGCCAUGACACCAGGCGUCACUUGAGGCGACACACCGCAUGACGGUGAGUCGCCCGCGCACCCGCAGUGCCAUGGAAGCGCAGUGCCGUGUCCCACACCGCAGCCUCACGGCCCAGGACCCCACCUGCCCCCACCCAUACAAAACCCCAGUGCCCCACCUGCGCCGUUCACUCCGCCGGGCGCCUGCAGCUGAGGACCCCGUGCCACCGCCGUCCUCCGCAUAUCGCUCCAGCAGCGGGCUGGCGUUUGCGUACUUCUCGUAGAGCUGCCACACCGUCUGCAGCGCGGCCUCAGUCAGGACCCGGUGCACCUGCUGCCGGACACCGUCCCCGCCCCGCACGGCCUGACGCUUCUGAAUCUUUUCAUUGCGCUGCGACAGCAACGGGGCAAGGUUCCGGCGACCGUCGGUCAGCUCGCAGACAAGGUUUGGACGUUGAAGAAUUGAGCGCCAACUUCAGCAGUGCUCUUGGCAAAACCGCAGAACAAUACCUGCUGCUCCUGGAUAUUGUUAAAGUUUGUAGCUCGCGUUGAUUUUCGCCGUGUCGACAUUUCUGCUUUGGCGAAAAUUUGAAGUUGACAGAGUUCACCGGCACAGCCUAUGAGUAAGUUUGCCGCAGCAGUAAGACAUCUAAGCUAUAUAUGCGUGCUGUGUUUCGAGGUCGAGACGUUGGUAGGGAUGACAGCCAAAUGACAGCCAGCCGCACGAGGCCUUGCCAGCCCCCCACCACAGGCCACCACUAGCGGACCGCCAUGCGAUCCAUGGAGCGUGCCCCUAAGGGCGUCAAGUGACAGGGGACGCAAUGUACAGUGUUAAAAUGCCGAGCACGAGAGGAGGCUGGUGUAGAAGUGGCGACUGAAGUCUGAGUAUGAUCUGAGUGCCAGAGUCGUAACAAACGUUGGACCAAAGGUACUGCGGAUGCUGGCGUGCGCACAACCUCCAGGACCGGUGACCGGGUCGGGGUCGGGGUCGGGGUCGGGGUCGGGGUCGGGGUCGGGGUCGGGGUCGGGGUCGGGGUCGGGGUCGGGGUCGGGGUCGGGGUCGGGGUCGGGGUCGGGGUCGGGGUCGGGGUCGGGGUCGGGGUCGGGGGAAUUGGAGUCUGGGGAAAUGGGAUCCAAGGGACGCAAAAUCGCUCGUUUUCGCCCGCGCAGCUUCUAAAUACUUACGUAUUUAUGUAAUAUUAUUAGCUGGGCCAACGCCCUGUCAAAUUGCGAGGGCGCGCGCGGACUUCCCCCGCGUGCCUGCAUCUCGGCCCCGCACCCUGCCGAACCAACCCCCCCCCCAGCACCAAAACCCGUCAUACCGUCCCCCACCGCGAGAUACAGACUCCACUAUAUAUAAGUAAAAUGUGAUCUGGGUGCCGGUGCUGGGGGGUCGGGGCUGUCCGCCUGGACGUCGGACGGUUGGACGGCGCGAAGUAAGUUCAAGUUCGCCCUUGCGGCGAAACCGUUCAGCCUUACACGUUUUGCAAAUAUAAGAAUAACAUAGUCUCAGCUUCAUAGGUCUCACGUUGUGGGGCAGCCAGCACGGCACUAAUAAGGACAGGUGCUCGCACUCGCAGCUUACGCGCCUACGGGCAUCCUGACAAAUACAUAAGUGCUAAGAUUGAAGCAAUCUACGUAUCUGAUAGUUACCUUGGACCAGCACCAGCCUGUGCGAUGAAAUCGGCCAAAGAAUUGUCUUUCUUGAGGCAUCGGACACCAUUCUAUGCGUUAGAGUGCGCUAAAUAUGGUUUAGCCUCAGUUACUUUCGUGAUCGAGGUUCCCUGGCUCGAGUCGGGUAUCGGAACUUUGUCGCUGGGGCCUCUUCUACCUUGUGUACAAUAGCUUCGUGUAAUGGAUGGCUUAAAUAAUGGCUAUGUGCAGUCGGCGGGGGCCGGGAGCGUGUGUUUGCCAACUUGACAGGGGCCCCCCCUUUCUGAAGUGUAUAGGUGCGCCGCGCCCCCUGCGGGGGCCGGGGCACGCUAACCCCCCGCCAGCCCUCGCCGACCGGUAAGGCAGGACGGGCACGUGGAUGGCAGGGAGACGCAUACCUACUGGCAGCAAGGGGCAAGCGCAGCUUGAGAUGCCGAUUGACCGCGACACCUGGCACCGCACGUCGUACGAACUGCACGUACGGUAAUUCCCAUAAGCUCGCCUCACUUGCGGGGACGCGACCAGUAAUUCCUGUAAGCACCGGCGCCUGCGCUCCUCCCUACGUCUGUCACAUUCUGUUCGAGCCUCUCUGUACGGUAUGGCAACCUGUGGCCUUCAUUCAGCGCGACAGUCUCUCACGCCGUCAUUCCUUGGCCGCCUGCCGGAGUGCACUCCCCGCUCUCACACCAAGACCUCCCCACCACCCGCCGGGUUCGGCAUUUGCCACACGGCGCGCCUUGAAGCCGACACGCCAACACGCAGGGGCCUGACGCAUCAGCACACAGUUCCCGAACCAUGAAGGCAUCAAGCCCAAAGGCCACCCAGCGCCCCCUCCACCACAGCGUCCAUGCUGCGCUCACUGGCAGCAGGCGCCACAACGGGACAGCAGAACCUGGCACGUGCUUCAGUACGUAGCAUGUACAACCACUCAUAAUCGCCCGCCUGUCGGCGCGCCUCGCACCUCGCACCUCAAUUCAUGCCCAUGAUCGUGCAUGAAUCAAACUCCAAUUAUAUAUGGUCCCGCCUGCAUACCGUAGCGUCCGUUCGUAGUAACCUCCGUCUCGAGUCUCUCAUAGUCUCAUGGCCAUGGCACAUGGCGCAUGGCAUAUGCCGCCGUAGUUAUCAUUGCAUGCGAAUCCACCAGCCCUAUCCUGGCUGUAAUGCAUUGAGCCGCAUUGAGGACCUUAUUCAGUGUGUGUCUUGCACCCGAGGUCUAUCACGCUUUCGCCUGAUCCUGUAGUCUACUGCCGAGCAGGUGGCCCGCCUCUACUCUGACAUCCCGUCCUCCGCCUCCGCCGCCUCCACCGCCCCACUGCUGACCUCGCCCACGUCAUCCCCACCCCCCGCACGAGCCACAGCCCGCUGCUGCGGAUGCCGCACCGCGCCCCCGACUCCUGCUGCUGCCGCCGCCGCCACCGAGGGGCCCUCACCGGCACGCCGCACCUUGCCCGCGGCACCACCUGCUGCGCGGCCGCCCGCCCCGCCGCCGCCACCGCCUGCACCGCUAGUCUGAGCCUCGUCGGCCUCAGCGCCACCCUGGGUGCCCUCAGCGCCGGUCGCGGCCGCGCCGCCAGCCGUGAUGCCACCUCGUGCCCCCUGCUGCUGCUGUCGCUGCUGCUGCUGCUGCUGCGGGCGCUGCUGUGCCUGCUGUGCCUCUGGGCGCCGUCCGCCACUGGCCGCCGAGGCCGCCCCGCCGCCCGCCUCACUGGCCUCGCCGUCGUACUUCCGCUCCACCUUGCGAGCCGGCCGCCCCGCGCCACCACCCGCCGCCGACGUGGUCGCGCCGCCGUUGCCGCUGGUGCGGUAGUGCGGCCCCGCGCCGCCAGUGGCCCGGCUGACGCCCGCCUCGGAGCGCUCCGGCUGCGCGCCCCCUCCGGCCCGGCGGCUGAGGCCGAAGCCCCAGCCGCUGGCCAUGGACUCGGUAGCGCCGGUGUGUGUGCUCAUGGUGAGGCGGUUGCUGCCGCGGUUGCUGUGCUGCUGCCGGGGGGGCACCGUCUACAAGGGGAUGGGGUGGGGUGGGGUGGGGGCAGUCAGCAACACAGCCAUAUAGGGUGGGGGCAGUCACACCGGACAGGGACAGAAACACGCGGUGUGUGGUGGCGGACCGCAGGAGACUGCAGCAGCACCAUUAUGAUAAGGCAGAGGCAGGAGCGCCCCCCCCCCACUUUAAAGCCGCACCUUGAAUGCGGACGGCUGCAGCAUGCGUGUGGCGGCCAGCAGCACCUCGGGCCUCACGCCGCCGCCCAUACCGCCCGGGCCCAGGCCGCCCGCCACACCCGACGCCAUGAGUGCUGCCGCGGCCGCCGCAGUGGCGGGGUCCAGUCCAAGCGCCACAGCCGCCGCCGCAGCCAUGGCCGCCUGGUUGGCGCCAGCUAGCGCAGCCGCGCCCUGGCCCGGGGCGGCUCCCGGAGGAGCCCCGCCGGCGGCAGCAGCAGCUGCUGCAACGGCCGCUGCCUGCUGCUGCUGUUGCUGCUGUUGCUGCUGCAUCAUGUACUUCUCGCGCUUCUUGAGGGGCGGCAAGGGGGGCGGCGCACCGCUGCCCGAGCCCUCGCCGCUGCCGGCAGCCCUGCGGACACGGUGAGCGCCAGGACCACACACUGUUAGCCCAGGAAGGCGAGAGCAGUAAACAGCCGGGCAGGUUGCAGCCCCAUACCUGGUGCCCUGCCCCGUACCUGCCUCCCAAAGCUGCCUCCCCCAUGCAGUCAUGCCUCCCCGAUGCACCCCGCACCACACCACACCCACCUGGGCGCAGGCACCAGCGACUGCACCAGCUGCAUGUGCGCCGCCAGCGCGUCACCGGGCUGCAGGCCCGCCGUCGCCGCCGCCGCCGCCGCCUCGUCGUCGUCGUCCUCUUCGUCGUCCUCCACCACUGCCGGCGUGUUGCCCAGGGCCUGCGCGGCAGUAGCGGUCAGGGCGGUGUCGCGGUGUGCGCAGGGUUGUCGGAGCCGCACAGCGUGCACGGGCCACAACAACGCACCAACAGGCCACGCCAGUCGUCUACACCCUUCCUCCCUGCCCUGGACCUGGGACCUGCCCGUCCAGGCCCGUGUGCAGGUGGGGCCCGCAACAGGUCCUCCCCGCACCUCACGCAUCCACAUCCGCCCUUUCCAACCCCACCCUUGCACACCUGUGGGUCCACCAGCCCCAGCUCGCCGAAGGCCGUGUUGGGGUCCUGCCACCACUUGGUGGGGCCCACAGCCGGCACCGGCACUGCAGCAGAAGGCGGCGCCGCUGGAGCCCCUGCCACACCCGGAGCCCCUGUCUGCAGCUCCUGCUGCCCCUGCGCCUCCAGCCCCUCCGGCUGGGAAGCGCUGGGCGCCUGGUCCUGCGGGGCCCCCGCCUGCAUUUCCGACGCGGGCCUCGGCUGGUGCGGCUGGCCCUGUCUUGCAGCCGCAACCCAACCCACAUCGGCGCUGGGGCCGCCGCGUGCCGCCGAGGGCGCCGCCUCAGCCUCCUCAGCGCCCUGCCGCUGCUGCGGCUGCGACUGACGCUCAGGCGGCUGCUGGAGCGCGCCGGUACCUGUGACCGCCGCGGCACUGCCGCCGCCACCGCCCACGACCCGCUCCGUACUUGCAAUGCGCUGCAGUGAGCCCGGCCGACUGCCCAAGCCUUGGCUGGGCGCCUGUGCCUGUGCCUGUCGGCUACCGACAGCUCCAGCGGCAGGCCCCGCAGCCCCAGCCGCCUCUGCCGCUGCUGCUGGUGUGGCCGCUGCAGGCUGGGCGGCAGCGGGCUGGGCUCCGGCUCCGGCUCCGGCCACAUGGCGGGCAAACCAGGCCUCAUGUGGGUCGAUGGAUGCGACUGGGCGGGGCACUGGGAUAGCGGGGGCGGGCACUCCGGGCGGUCGCAGCACUGGGGGCACCUGUGAUGAGUGCGGGGCGGCGGCACUGAGGCUGAGAGACUGAGCAAGGUUUCGCAUACGGCACUGCAACAGCAGGUUCGUACACGGUACUGCAAGAGCAGGUUCGGUUCAACGUGGUGCAUGGGGUUCCACACAUCAAGCUCGAGGCACAGCAAAGCGGUCAUGCGGGGCGGCGCACGAGGUACGGCACCCGGGGGGCAGGUGCCCUGCGGAGCAGGUCAACCCCCGUCAGGCCUACCUUGGUCCCACCGGCUCCCACUCCCGCCCCCUGGCGGCUGGAGAAGAGCACGGGCAGUGCGGGCGGCAGCACUCCGCCAAAGCCGCCACCAGGAACCGGCGCUGCGGGGGUGGGUGCUGGUGCAGCCGCUGACUGCGGCUGCGAGGUCCCAGCCGCAUCAAGAUGCGGGACUGGGGCCGCGGCUGACGGCCCUGGCUGCGGCAUAGGCAGCGGCGGAGUGCCAACGAGCGGCGGAGGCACCCCUGGCGGCCUCACCAGCGGUUGCGGCUGCUGCGGCUGCUGCAGCGGCCCCCGCGGCCCGCCCGCUGCCACGGCCAUCGGGGCGCCGCCGGGGGGUGGAGCGCCCGGUGCACCGCCCUGCAGCGGGCCGCGCGCAGGCAGUGCCCCCAGCGGGCCUGCCAUGCCGGGCGGCAGCUGCCCGUGCAGCGGCAUGGCCAUGUGCAUGUGCGGCGGCAGCUGCCCGUGCAGCGGCAGGUGCCCGUGCUGCGGCAUCGCGGGUCCGGACCACUGGGGCGGCAGGUCCAUGUGCAGCGGCUGACCGGGCUGCGCCGGGUGCGGCGGGGCGCGGAAGCUGCUGCCGGGGCUGCCGAACGCCCCAGCGCCCGCCGUUGCUGCCGCCGCCGCCCCCGCAGCACCCAUGCCGUGUGGCGGAGGCCCCACGGCGAGCCCGGCUGCGGCUGCGGCUGCGGGCGGCAUUCCGCCCAGCAGCGCGUGCGGCUGCGCCAGCCCAGGCCCCGCGGGCAGUGCGUGCGGGGGCAGUCCGAAGGCGGCUGCGGGGGAGGGUGGGUGCAUGUGCGGGUGCAUACUGGGCGGCGGCAUAAGGAGAGCUGACGCCUGUGGCCGCUGCGGCAUGCCGUGUGGAGGAAAGGGCGGCAGCACCUGGUGCGGACUGGGCACCGCCGCCGCGGCCCCGUCGGGCAGGCCGAGCCGUGUCGCAGGCUGGGCCGCGUGAGGCGAGGGGGGCGCCUGCAGGCCAACACACGAGGGCGUAAGGACGCAGCAAAAGGCCUGCCGAGACGCACAGCUCCUGCAUUUACACGAGCGAUUCAGCUACCUAUUGAACUUUUCAUAACCACUCACCGCUGUGGGCUGUUGCCGGAAGGGGCCCGCCUGGCCAACUGCCGCUGGAAUGCCUCCAUUCGGGCCUCCUGCCACACUGCCGCCGCCACUACCGCCGUUGUUCCGCUGCUUCUCUGCCGCCGCAGCCGCCGCACGUGCAGUCGCCUGAGCCACCACCUUCUGUACCACCGUGGGCUGCUCGCUGUCCGCCGGCCCCUCGUCGCCGUCCAUCAGUGUGUACAGCUUGGAGGCGGCGGGUCGGACCACCGCGUUGCCGCCGCCACCCAGCCCGCCGCCGCCACCCACCAUGGUGGCUGCGGGCCGCGGUGCGGGAGGCGGCGGCACUGCCGGCCGCACCAGCUGCUCGGGCGGCACAGAGCGCAGCACCUGCAGCGGCGAGGGGUGAGAGCGCAUUGACUCCGACCAGUGGCACUGCAUUGCAUGUCUGCAUGUGUGCCUGCCGGAGCAACCACCUAGUGCCACCCGGAGCCACCUGGGCAGGACAUGGGCCGAACCCGCCACGCACAAGCACAGGAAGCCCACGCCCCACGACUACACGUACACGCCAUGCCACAUCCCGCCCCGCCUGCCUCGCUCACCCUCUCUCUCAGCCCCCGCGGCAGGUUGAAGAGCAGCUGCAUGUCGCCCAGCAGCCGCACACGCAGCUCCUCGCGGCUCAGAGGCGGGGCGGCGGGAGGCGGCGGGGCUGCGGGCGCCGAGCGCUGCGCCCCGUGAUGUGGCUGCGAGGACGUGCCGGCGCCGCCGCCGUACCCGCCGGCUGCCUCCACUGCGGCGGACGCCACCACGGAGCCCGCCUGGGCCUCGUGGGCGGUGGUGGCGCUGGUAAGCUGGUAGCCCGCCUCCGCCGCACCCGCCACCGACGCCAGGCCCGGCCGCUGCCGCUGGUGCUGCUGCUCGCCGGCCGCCACACCGCCGCCCUCCUGGCUCUCGGGCGUGGCCGUGCCCAAGCCCAUGUGCGGCUGCGGCGUCAGGGGCCGCUGCUGCUGCUGCUGCUGCUGCUGCUGACCGGGGGCCGGGGGCGGCGGCAGGCGCAGAAUGGGUCCGGCGGGUCCGGCCCCCGCAAAGCCGGCCUCCAUGCAGGCGGCCUGCAGUCCCGCCGGGUCCACCACAAGCAUCUCCGACCAGAUGACCUGCACGGGCGGGCGAGGGGAGCGUGUGUGUUUAUGUGUUGAGAGGGUAGCCUGGCAUAUGAGCGCCGAGCGCUUGACGUGACUUGGGCACACAAGCGAAGGCCCUCGUGGAACAGCGCGCGGGUCCAACGGUGCGCAGCACCACUACCUGUGCCAGGCCCGGCCCUUCCCUUCUCCCGUUCUGCCCCCUCUCUCCCUGCCGGCUGCCGCCCCAUGCCUCACCUGUUGCACCCGCGCUAUCUUGUGCAGCUCGCCCAGCUGCAUCACGAACACCGACUGCUGCCGCAUCAGGGUGGCGCGCACAGCGCCGUACAGCGGGUCGCCCAGCAGGUCGCGCAGCGCGGGGCCGCCCGCAGGGGCCGGGGGGCCCGGCGGCGGCGGCGGCAGCGGGCCGCCAGGACCCACCGGCCCCGCACCCGGCGGGAAUGCAGGCGGUGGCGGCAUCAUCAUAUGCCCGCCGGGGGGUGGCGGCGAGAACAUGGGCUGCUGGUGCUGCUGGUGCUGGAGCUGGUGCGGCUGGAACUGGGGAGGCAACUGCGCCUGCUCGCCCCACGGCUGCGGUGGAGCGGCCCGCAGGCUGAGGCCAGCCGCAGCAGCUGUCACAGCGGCCGCCGCUGCCGCUGUGGUCCCGUCAUUGCCCCUUGUCGGGAAAGCAACCCCGCCGCUCCCGUCUCUACUUCCACCUCCUGCCCUGGCAACGCCGUCGUCUGCACCUGCCGCGCCGACAGCCGCCUCUGACGCCGGCAGUGGACUGGCGCCCAUGCGGCCGCCCUCCCCCUCCCCCUCCCGGAAGCCGCGGCCGCCUGCCUGCAUGCCGGCUGGCCCUCCCUGGUGCUGCUGCCUCUGGGAGGCCGCGCCGCGCUGCUGCGACUGCGACUGCGACUGCGAGCUGCUGGAGGUGAGCGGCGUGUCACUGCACUCCGUCUCCGACUGGCCCUCGCCCUCGCCCUCCGCCUCCGCCAUAUCCGUGUCCGGCUCCCCGCGGCGCCCCGCCUCCCUUCCAUAGCCGCGCACCUCGCCGCGGCCACCGCCCGCUGAUCCAGCACUGCCCCGGCCCGCCUGCUGCGCCUGCGUCUGUGCCUGUGCCGCGGUGGGCGCCUGCGUCUGCUGCCAGCGCAUGUCCACCUGCAUCGCGUCAGAGCCGGCAGCUGCGCCGCCGUUCGACCCCCCCUCAGCCAGCUGCACGUCCCGCAUGCCACUGCUCGCAUUCUCACGACUGCCGCUGCCGGCGUCCGACGUGCCAGAGCGGCCCGCGCGCUGCCUCUGCUGCUGGCGUGCGUCCUCAGCCCUGGCCGCACGUGCCGCCGCGACCUCGUCCGAGAGGCUGCGCCGCUGUGCCGGCGCCCCCAGUGUGGUGGAGCCGCCGCUGCCGUUGCCGUCCGCGCCGGUCACGCCGCCGCCGCCGCCACUGGCCAGGCCGCCGGAGGUCUCGCUACCAUCCAGCGGUCCCCCCGGUGUGGCCCCGGCGGCUACGGCCGCGGCCUCCAGCGCCUUGGCACAGUGCGGAGGUCCCACCUCCUCCUCCUCCUCCCAGUCGUCACGCCGCCGCUUGUAGCCGUCAGCCCUCACGCCGGCGGCGCCGGCUGGAUGAGCUGGGCCGGCAAGCCUGCGGCCCCCACUUGGAGGGGACCCGGUACCGCCGCCCCCCAAGGACUUGUCGUAUUGGCGCGGGCUGGCCGCCUCCGUCGUGCCUCCGGCGCCCGGUGGGCUGCAGCCCGCACUGGUGGCGCCGCUGCUGGCCUCCGUGCUGCCCUCGGUGACGGUGCUGUAGGACUCACCCGACGUCUGCUGCACCUGCGGCGCCUGCAGCUGGCGAGACGGCUGUGGCAGCGGCUGCCUCUGCUGCUGAGGUGACGGGGGCCCAUGGCGAUCGCCACUCCCUGACCCGUUGCGAUAAUGAUCGCCCGCGGCAGCAGCGGCAGCAGCAGCAGCAGUAGCCAUGUCGCCUACCUGCCUACUGCUUUCGGGCUUGACUGCAGGCGCCUGUGCAGCCGGCGCAGACCUGGCCAUGCCGCCUUCGGCCUGCGGGGGUGGCAGCUGCAGCGACGGAGAGCCCCCUGCUGCCACUGCAACGGGGCGCCUCACGAGUGAUGGCUGCGGCAGUGCAUACUGUAGGGGCUGUUGCAGUGGCGGCUUGUGUCCCGACAGCGCUGGUUGCUGCUGCUGCUGCUGCAUGCCGGCACCCAGCAUGGCGCCAUUGAGGAAGGCGCUGGCGGCGGCAGGCGGCAGGCCGGGCAGCAGGGCCUGCUGCUGCAGCUGCUGCAACUGCUGCAGCUGCCACUGCUGCAAUAGCGCCACAGCGCUGUCCCCACCGCCUGCCGCACUGCCGCCGCCUGGACCCAGUGCCAUGUGCCCCGGCGGCCGCCCGCCUCCGUACGGCACCGGUAGCGGCACCUGAAGGCCGCCCACGCCCGGCACGGGGCCGCCGGGGCCACCGAAGAAGGGCGGGCCCGCGGCGCCUGGCUGCGGCAUCCCAGGUCGGCCGGUGCUGGCUAGCAAUGGUGCCGCCGCCAGCGGUAGCUGCCCAGGCCCCAUAGGCCGCAUGCCCCCUGACGGCACGCCGUGCACGCCGGGCGGCGCGAGGCCUGGCACGGGUCCCGCCACACCGCCCGCCGCCAUGAGGCUGCUGAGCGCCAUGAGCGCCCCCGAGGCCGCGGCCGCCUGCUGCGGCGCCUGCACCAGGCCCGGCAGCUGCGGGUAGCGGCCGGGCAUUUGCGGGAAUGACGGUGGCAGAAGCUGCAUCUGCCCGCCCGGCCCCAGUGACAGCGAGUUCUGCGAGGUCUGUGACGUCCCUGCCGCCGCCGCCUGAAGCUGGCGGUGCAGCUGCAGGUGCUGCAGCACUGGGGAGAUGCACGGCGCCACACCGCCGCCACCCUGGCCAGCAGCCAACUGCAGCCGCUGCUGCUGCUGCUGCUGUUGUUGCUGCUGCUGUAGUUGUUGCUGUAGCUGCUGUGUCUGCUGCAGUAGGUACUGCUGGAGUGCCUGUUGGUGCUGCUGCGCCGCCGGCGCUGCCAGCGGCAGCUGCGGCUGCGGCCCUGACAGCAUGGCGCCGGAGCUUUGCAGCUGCCCCAGCAUGGCUGCAGCCGCGGCGGUUGCACCCGCUAGGCCCGGGGCGAAGACCUGCGGAGCACCCGCUGACUGCCCCAGGUGCGGUCCUGAGCCGGCAGGGAGCCCGCCUUGCGGCUGCUUGGGUACCGCGAGCUGCGACUUGCCCACUGCGCCUGAGCCAGCAGGCAUCUGAUUAUCUGGUCCCAUGUACUUCAAGCCAAUCCAGCUCAGUUUCGCAGUCCCGGAGCCACAACUGGCGUCAGAGAAGCCCGGGUCAUCUGCAGGCUUCCCGCGCCUCUGCGCGUAUGUCCCUUAAUUUUGUAGAUAGUUGAACCUCUUGAAAAAGACUUAUUCUUUAAUCAAGAAGCCGCGCCAAGGAGCGUCGAGCCCGCAGGAGCUGACCGGACAACAAUUUGUGCGGGCAAUUUUGGGCACGGUUCAAGCCACUCCUAGCGCUGUGGCUACACCAGUGUUCAAGGAGCUACCAGAAGGCUGCACUGCAGACUGCGGCGCCUCAGAACGGCCGCGACAGGCGAAAAGACACACAACGAAAGCGACCCCCACUACCUAGCGAAAGGGCGAUCUGCAAUAAGUGCAUGGUAUCAUCAGGAAGUGAAGGAAGGCUGGGCGGAGUCUGUCCAAAUAUCUGCUGGCAACCCGAAUCGCAAUGGGGUUUUUGGGCAUUUCUGCUACGCUCGUCCCAUGCGUCAGCUGGCUGCCCCCGCGCAGCCCUAGCAGCUGCUGGUCUGCGCUCCCCAGUGCCGCAACCAGUCACGUGCCGCAUGCUGCAUCCUACCUGUGCUGGGCGCGUGGCCACGUGCGUGUGCCUCGGGCUGGGGUUGACUGGUUGAGGGCAACUUCGCCCACCCAGGAUGGGGCCUGCCUAUGGCAGAGUCCUGGGCGUGGGUGCGGGACUGCGGGUGAUGUGUGGACAUGGAUGUAACUGACGAGGGCUAGCCGAGACGGUGUUGUCAUCGGCUACUCAUCGCGGCAAGUACAAACGUGAAACGUUGGUAACACUGUGGGGCGCACGGACCUCUGCAACACGCUGGCCUGCGACGGCAUGGUCAGGCAUGGUCGAGAUGUAUGGCACUCUUUCCAUGUUUGGAGUGCCACCGUUCCUGGAUAUUGCUGACCUGCGUACCUUUGAAGACAACCCUCGCAGCGCCUUUUACUCCUGCUCCUGCUUUGCUGCAACUUUCCUGUCGCUGGCCAGGUGAUAGCGGCGGUGUGUGAUGGGCAGGAGAUUGCAUUGGUUGGGUAUCGGUCAGCGGGUGGGCGGGCGGGAAUGUCCAUCAGCCCGCCUCAGCAGCAAUGGCUGCAAGAGGGUGGCCGAGCAACUGGCCUGCGGCACCUGUGACUGUUAGGGCACCGGGCAGGUGUUUACCUUGUACAUAUACAUUAGCGCGGGUUCCUGCACAAUGCGCGGGACACCCUGGGCCUGGGCCUGGGCCUGGGCCUGGAGGCGGUGCUGGCUGGUGCUGGAGGCAGCUGGGGAUGCGGCGGGACGCCGGCAGUGGGCGGCGGCACGCGCCGCGCUGGUGCAGGCUUACAAGCAGCAGGCGGCGCGGGCGCUGGGGCUGGGCGCUAGCGCCGGGGCAGUCGGGGUGAAGUCCUGCAGCGGGCGUCGGCGACCCGCCAGCUCGCCUGCGAUUGCGAGGAGCCCAGCCGUAAAACUUGUGGCCUACGCCAGGGGAUGCGGACGAGCCGCGCUAAAAAGAAAAAGGUGAGGGGCUGCGAGCUCGGAGUUUACAGUGCUGGUGUUGCACUUGGAUGCCCGUGACGCCCCAUAUCGGCGUACAGCUGACGCGCCCUGUGCAUGUGCGCCCUUCGCAUUGCAUGUCGCAGAAGGGUGUGGUUUGUCCUGUUUGUCCUGUUUGCGGGGUUUAUUAUGGUGCCUUGCUGCGUGUUGCCUGCGUACCAGACUGCAGCCAAGCCCACGUAGCUCUCUGCAUUCAUGCCCACAUGGCCCAUGCCACGUGCAGUACCGCCGGGAUGAGCCAUGCAGCCAUCGCGCUGUCAUCACUAUUACGCGGCCUCCCCGAUUCCAGUACUUGCAUUGCCACACGUAUUCAUUCCUCCCCAUUUACAUACUUGCUUUCCGCUCCGUCCACUCCGCCUCCAUAGUUCCGUUCCAGCCCGCGCCAGCCCCAACCGCAGCGACAGCCAGCCGCCCAGCCCGCGGUUACUUGCUGUGCUGUUUUGCUUCCUGUCUGGCCCGCUGCUUCCUUCCCGGUUUCUUACGCUUCCACUCACUCCCUCCCUCACAUGUGCUGCUGGACGACGGUGGCGCUGGUGUUUUCCAGGUUGGUUUCGGAUGCCGCGCGCCCCGCAGCUCCGCUCCGCGCCAGCCCGCCAGCCGUCCGACAGCCUAGCCAUCGCAACCUGGUUAUAUCAGUGAUGGGUCGGCGGCGCUCCUCUAUUGCCCGUGGCGUUUACCGUCUGGAUGAGGUAACAUGUCUGCUGUGACCGCCUCCUGCUAACCGGCCUUCUAUGCGUGCUAGCGACUACAACUUCUCUUCGUGUCGCGCACAUUCGCGUUCGCAUUUCGACAGCACUCCGCUAAGGAGGGAAAGCAGGGCUAAGUCGCAGGCGCAGGCGCAACCACAGGCACUAGGGGCACCGGGCGGGGCCAAGCCGCCGCUGCAGCCUUUCCAGCCUUACUGGUUCGCUGUCUCAGUGUCUCACCUUCUCGUAGCGCUGCUGCAGCUGCAGGUUGCAUGCACCGGCAGCCGCCCCAGAUGGCACAGGAGUCAGGAGGGAGCGGUGGCAGCAGCUGCGGCUGCAGCCACGGCCGCGGCGAUGGCAGCUGCAGCAUCGGUGCGGGGUGUGGCGCGGGAGGUGCGCACCCUGGUGGUGGUGAAUGAGACCAUGCAGCAGCCUCAGGCCGGGCCGAUGGCGGGGCUGAUGAUGAUGUGCGAGUGCAGGGGUGUCACUGCGCGGGUGGUAACUGAAUGGCAUUUCCAGCAAGGAUGUGUGCGCACCGGUCGUGGUCCGUCGUGGCGACGGCGGCCAAGAAGGCGGCCAAGCGAGAGCGGGUGGGAGCAGCACCGGGUGGCCAGGGCGGCCAAGAUUGAGCGGGACAAGGAGCCCAUGGGGUAAAUGGUGAGCUCGGAUAGGCGAAGUGGGUGUGUGUUCGUGUCACCGUCUACAGCUGCCCACGCACUCUUGAACGGUCCAUUCUAGGUUGCGAUAAAAUACAAGCACGAGACAUCAUUGGCGUCCCGCUGGAAGCCAGAGAACUGCCUCGCUUCUCCCCACGUUCAUCGAAGCAGCGAUUAGACGCGUUUUGUUCUUCCUUUGCCCUACUACCCUAAACUGCUAUAGAUAAAUACAUUCUUGCUGGCGAAACAGGACAUACGCGACCUUGUCCCGACAACUCUUCAGCGCGAAGUUUCUAUGUAAAUUGCUUCCACCCUGCCAUGCUCACCAUUAUUGAGCUUGUCGUAAACUACUGAUGGCUGUACAAGAAAGCUCUUCAGAGGCCACGCCAUCGCCAGACCCUGAACAAAACGAGCAGCAAAUGGAGGAGCCAGCAUCUUCUGGAGCUGCCGGGGAGCCACAGUCGGCGGGGGUAGAGUCGGGGCAGCCCGGCGCGGGGGGCGGACCGGACGACACCGUGGAGAGGAGUGGCCCCAGUGCGCUGGUGCCGCGGAUUCUGGCCCGACCGCCGCGGAAGGCCAAGCCUCAGGGCGUUCGUGUGCUGGAGCCCAAGGAGUCCAUGCGGAACCGACUGCGCAAGGCCCUCGCGCCCUACCUCACAGCCACGUACUGGCAGGUGGGCGGAGAUUGGCCGAGAGUGGGGCGGUGUCGUAGUGAGGCUGGUUUGGCGGCACCCAUAGGCGCCCACGCGGCACCAAGACCACAUAUCUAGGCGCUCUCAAAGCUCGGUGCCUGACGCCCGGUGGUCCUGAUGGCGGCUUGGGCCGCAAAGUACCACACAGGGCCACACAAUGCAUACCGGGGGGCUCUGAACGUCCCCCGAUAGGCAACCGCCUCGGGCGCCGUGUCCCACGCCCUGCCCUGCCCUGUCCCCCCUGGACCGCCACCCGCACCUCCACCUCCACUUCUCACUUCCUCGCCCUCCUGGCCUCGUGGCUGCAGGGCGAGAUGGCCAGGAAGUUCACGGCCGAGUAGUGAGUCCGCCGAGGCCCCCCGCACCCGCACCCGCACUGGAGCACCUACUCUCUGCUGGUUGGGGGGAGGGAGGCGGAGUAGACGGGGAAGGCGAGGGGAUGGGCGGACGAGAGGCCUGAGGCUCCGAAGGUAUGGACGUUUGCGCACUCCCUGACCUGUGCCGUAUGCACCCGCUCGCGUGCAGCAUCGAGGCGCACCCGCCUCCCGAGGACGAGGUGGGUCAGCGGGCGGGGCAGUGGGUUGCAGCUGUAAAAUGGAAGGCGCACGGCGGCGUGCGUUGUGGCUAGUGGGAUAGCGGUGGUGUCGUAAUGGGUGCUGGGUAGUGGGUGAUGGCUAUCGAGUAGUGGCUUGUAGCUAGCUAAUGGGCGGUGGCUAGUGGAUAAUGGGUGGUGCGCCACCCACAGGGUUAUGCAGGACUCAUACCGGACCGGAGCAGAGCAGGAGGAGCAUGUGCCGCCGUACAUUGAGUGGGCUAGCUGCUCCGACUGUGAACCAGGCCCUCCCUUCAUCCCCUAUCCCAUAGUACUAUCACUUGCAACUAACGCCUCUACCUGUGCUCCGCUCGUGUUAGCUUGGUUAGUUUGGGCUGGUAUAUACAACCCCCCCUCCACCCUCCGCACUGCCCUCAGGACGACCUGCCCGCCUACAUCGCGCAGCACCUGCGUGAGCUCAACCGCGUCACUGAGCGCUGGAGCGGCUGUGUGGUGAAGGCGCUGGACCCGCUCAGCCACCAAAUGGCCAUUGACGACCGACUGCAGGUGCGCGGGCCCUGCCGGACUGUGUAUGCGAGGUGGGGGUGUUAUGUGCCCGAGCCCGACGAUUCAAGUCCCAUAAUCAUCAGAAAGCCCGCUCAAUAACGACAGUGCGGGGCAAGCGCGCCGGAAAUGACGUUCAGUCUCGGCCAUGUUGUGGUGGCUGUGUGGGUAGUGAGUAGGGCAUGUCCAGCUGGGUCACUGGGAAUCUCAUAGCCAAACUGUAUUAUUGUCCGCACAUCGCCCCGGCUCGGCACAAGUCACGGUCUAUGCUGGUACUCCGAUACCAAGCCCAAAAAAUGGGGAUGUGUGGAGGGGGGCCGCGGCUGCGCUGCUGACAUACCGUGCACCGCCUUAACGCUCGUCCCUAUGUCCAUUUUCCUCGGCCGCACACCAUACCUUCCUAUGGCCGCUGUGUUGCUCCCCACAGCGCCAGCGGCAGCGGGCUGAGGGACUGCCGGUGGAGUCGUUGGACAUGGACUUUGCCAUGAGGCCGGGACUGGUGAGGGGCAGGGGGGAGUAGGGGAGAUUGGGAAGUGGGGAGGUGGGGCGCGGGUUGACAAGGGGCUUGGAGCGGCAGCUGGAUGGUGGAGGGGGGGGGGUCGUACAGGCGGGGCAGGUACAGAGACGUAGGGACCAAGUCCAGGCGCACAUGGACAUAAGUUGCUUGAUGAUACCGCGUCGUGAUCACGACCUGACCUGCCACUGCCGCCCUGCAGUCGCCUGCAGCCACCGACUCGCCCACUGCGGCGCCCGCUGCCAAGGCUGCCCAGCCGCCUGCGCCGCCUCCUCGCCCUGCUGACGAUGGCGACACGCGGCUGACCAGCAGCCAGAUCGUGUCCGCGGUACACCUGGUGUCCGACAUCAAGGUGUGGGAGGAGAUCCUGGCGGCCAAGAAGGCCGAGGAGCGCCGCCAGCACGCCAUCGCCGAGCUGCACCUGCACCACGCCGCGCGCAUCAUCCAGGUAAGGGGGGGGGGGCGAGGGAAAGCUGGAGCGGGUGGAGGCUGGGGCGUGUGUUGAGUCGGCGUGAAGGGGCACUGAUUGCUGGUCACCACAUGCCCCACGCGGCUGCAGCCCGCACACCCGUCCGCUUACCCUAAACACACAGUAUGUAUGUCAUGCACCACCCGCCGCAGCGCUCCUGGCGCUCCUUCAUCGGGCAGCGCAAGGAGGAGAAGGCUCGGCUGGACAGCCUGGUGUCGCCGGACGUGCAGGUGGGGGGGGGUUGAGGCGCAGGGGGUGGGAGGGACGCGGGAGGGGGCAUGUGGGGCGGCAGCUGCUCCGAGCGCUGUGGUUGCUCCCGUAUGCAAGGAGUUACUGCGGCGCCUCAGAACGGCCGCAACAGGCAAAAAGACACACAACGAAAGCGACCCUCACUACCUAGCCAAAGGGCGAUCUGCAAUAAGUGCAUGGUAUCAUCAGGAAGAUGAUCAGGAAGUGAAGCAAGGCUGGGCGGAGUCCGUCCACAUAUCUGCUGGCAACCCGAAUCGCAAUGGGGUUUUUGGGCAUUUCUGCUACGCUCGUCCCAUGCGUCAGCUGGCUGCCCCCGCGCAGCCCUAGCGGCUGCUGGUCUGCGCUCCCCCGCACCGCCACCAGUCACUUGCCGCAUGCUGCGUCCUACCUGUGCUGGGCGCGUGGCCACGUGCGCGUGCCUCGGGCUGGGGUUGACUGGUUGAGGGCAACUUCGCCCACUCAGGAUGGGGCCUGCCCAUGGCAGGUCCUGGGCGUGGGUGCGGCACUGCCGCGGGCGAUGCGUAAACUUGGAUGAACCUUACCACUCCGCUGCGCUCAUGCGGUCGCCCCCGCCCGUGCAGGCCAUGCUGAGUGCCGCCGCCUACAAGGCCAUGAGGGACGCGCGCAACAAGCUGCAGCUCACACGCCUGCGCAAGAGCCUCAGCAGGCGGGCGCGGGUGGGCGGCUUCGGCUCAUCCGCACGUGAGUACAGGCGGAUGCACAGGGGCUAGGGUGCUACCAGGGCAGAGGGCACAGCGCGGCUAGGGUGAGGGAAUGUACCCUCCUUUCAAAGGAGAGCCCGCGGAGUUUCUGUAUCGAUUUUGCAUCCUCGUUCCUUUUCGACCUGCUCAUGAACUAGCGCCCACUCAUGGAAUGGAACCGCACAGCCCGAGACCUGGACCGGACGGUCAAGCCGCAGCCGGGAGGGGGCGGGGGCCCGGGCGUGGGGCCGAACCCGCCCGCCGGCCGCCGGCCGCCCAAGGCUCCUGCCGGCCCUCGGGGGGCGGCUGCGGCGGCCGGUGAAGCCCGGCGCAGCAGCCGGGAUGUUUCAGGUGCUCCCUCUGGCUCCAGGUGCGGUGUGUGAGCGCGGGAGGGGGUAUGGGGCUUGGACUGAGGCGGCAGGGGAGGGGGCAGCAUGUGUAGGCGGUCAUCCCUGCGCGUGUGCGAGACCGGCACUCAGGACUCCCCUCUCACUGCAGGUCGGCAUUGGACAGCGCGGGCGGUGCAGACUCGCAGUGGGAGGGGGACGGCCGCGAGCAGGCGGACAGGGGCUCGUCGGCCGGCGGCGACAGUGCACUCGCAGGCGGGCUGAGCCGCAGCGCCUCACGCCGCACCGGCAGCGCCAACAGCGGGCGAGGCCUGGUGCGGGCGAGCUCCAGCGCAGCCCGCUCGGCGCAGAUUUUCAAACGCCUGGUGUCUCUCAAGGGGGACCCGCAGGAGGGCAGCCUCGGCCGCGGCGGCAGCGAACGCGGCAGCGACAUGGGUGGCGGCAGUGCGCUGCAGGAGGGCGGCGAGGGUGCGGGCGGCGAGGGCGAGGAGGGCUGGACGGAGGGCGUGCCGCGGGCCGCUGCUGGCCGGUACGCCGCGGCUGAGGGCGAGGAUGAGGACCAGGGCGAUGAGGAGGAGGGCGGCAACUUCGACGACAUGCAGCCCGAGCCGCUGCCCGAGGGCGAGGAGGGCGACGAGGAGGGGGAUGACGGCGAGUGGGAGGAAGCGGAUGGUGAGGAGGACAGGGAGGAGGAUGCGGACGGCGAGGGCGGUGAGGCGGCUCUUCAGGGGCUGCUGCGGCCCGAGGAUGCGGACCAGGCUGUGGCGGAGGCGGAGGAGGUGGUGGAGAUGGCCGCGGCGCUGGCGGAGGCGUUCCUGGGUGGCUUGGGCGAGCAGGACCAAGAGGGCCAGGAGGACACCUGCGAAGCGGAUGAGGAUUUCCAGGGCGAGGAGGGUGGAGCGGACCCUGGGGCUUCAGCAACAGCUGGUGCUACACAGGAGCAGGCACAGGUAGCGGUAGGCACUGCAGGUGCCAUGGCGGCCGCGGGAGCAGCAGCAGCGGGCGCGGCGACGGGGCCUCAUGUACCCAGCGCACCCAAGGCGCCACGCCCGCCGGCACGUGGCGAGGCCGCUGCACGUGCCCCGGCCCCUCGCCGUGGCGGCCGCACAUCGGCGCUGUCCAUGUCGUCCGACACCGCGGCCAUGAGGCACGUCAUUGCGGGGGCGCUUGCGGCGGCGGCGGCGCCCGUGCUGGGCCGCAGCGGCGCACUGGCCGUGGCGCGCCUGGGUCUGGGAGAGCCGCUGGCCCCGCCGCACCGGCUCAGCGGCGCGGGCGGCAGCACAGGCAACCUAGCCGGUGGCGGUGGCCUGCCCGCCAGCACCGGCGCGCUGGCAGCGAGUGGGGCGUCCCGGCGCGCGGUGCUGGGCACUGCCGCGCCGACAGGGCCGCAGCCACAGCGUGUGGGCCGGCUGCGGGCGGGCGCGGGCAGCCCGGGUGCGGACCGGGUGUCCGGGUCCGGAGCCGGGGGCCAUCCCAAGGCGCUCACGCCGUCCGCGAUUCGCGCGGAGGCAGAGGCUGGCCUCAUGGCGGCGGCAGCUGGCGGCGGUGGUGAUGGCCUUGACGACUCGGGACUGGUGUCAGCUGACUGGGCGGCGGCUGCAGCCAGUGCCGCUGCGGCCGCGGGUGCUGCGCUGGUGAGCGGCGGCAGCAGCUCGGGGCCUCUGGGUCCGCGUGCGAGCGGCUACUCCAGCAGCAGCCUGGCGGGAGUGCACCUGGAGCCGCUGGCAGCGGCCGCGUCACCAAGGGCCAGUGGCUCGGGCGCGGCAGCUCUGAUGCGCUCACCGCGGCCCAGUGACAGCGGCGUGGGCGGCACACUGCAGGCGCUAUCGCCAGCGGGCAUGCCGGACCCGCUGCUGGCUCAGGUCCGGCUGCCGCGGCAGUCGGACGGCGCCGCGCCCAGCUCGCCGUUGCCGCUGCCGCCGCUGCCCGGCACGCACAUGGCAACAGGCGACGACGCGGUGGGCGGCCUGACCGGCACCGCAGCCGCCCGCCACCAGCCGCAGCCCCGCGUGUCGGCCACUGGACAGGCGCAAGGUCCGGGAGCGGGUCCGGGCGAGGCGCUGGACGUCCUGUCCUCACCCCAGGCCAGUCCCACGGGCCACCUGGGGGGCGCUGCGCCUGUGGUGGCUGGCUACCAGCAGCAAUGGGCGAUGCCGCGUCAGCCGCAGCCGCCACUCACCCAGCAGCGCACCGCGGCGCAACCCACCCACCACCAUCCGCAGUCCCACUACAACCAUGCCGCGUACCACCCGCCGACCGGCGCCGCCACCAUGGCCUCCGCACUGCCCGAUCCCCGCAACGUCACCGCGCCCGGCGCCGUCGGGGCGGCAGCGGCGGCCGCACACAAGGACCCCUCCUGGCUUCUGCCACCCAUUGCCGGCUCCCCGAGCCGCAGCGCCACGGGACCGCCGGGGCUGGGCGCGCAGGCCGCUGCGGUGGCAGCACUGCGGGCUGGCGCGGGGGUCGGCGGUCUGGCGGCGGGAGUUGUGGGCGUGAGCCGCACUGCCUCCGACCCCUUCAUGCAGCGCCCGCACGGCUUGGUGGCACAGCAGCAGCAGCAGCAGCAGCAGCAGCAGCAGCAGCAGGCUCAGGGUCAGGGCCAGCCGCUGCGGGCCUCGCACGCGGGGGCCGCCAGCAGUGCACUGGGCGGCCCGGCCAGCCCCGGCCUGGCCUCCCGCGCCAACCUGGGGCAGGGCGCGAUGGCGGCGGCGGCCUCGGGGCAGCGGGCGCGGCGCUCCAGCCUGGUGGGUGGGAGCGUCUCAGGCGGUGUGGAGGGGCCGCUGGGGGCGCUCAUUUCGCUGUCCAGUGGCGUCGUGGGGCCGUCCGCUCACGGCGGCGCCUCGCCCGUGCGGCUGGCUGGCCGCGCGGCUCGCAGCUCCGUGGGCUCGCCCGGCAUGCUGCCCGCGCCCAGCCCCAGCCAGUUGCAGGUGCAGCACAACCGCCUGACGGUGUCAGUGGACAGCAGCAGCUACCCGCACUCAGGCUCGGUGUCGCUGAUGGGCGUGGCAGGCAGCGGUCUGCUCAUCAACGGCAUCUCGGGCGGGGGCGCCAGCCUGGUGGCGGCACGAGGCGCAGGCGGCGACACCUCGCCGCCACUGGUAUCCAGUCAGCUGAAGGGUGGUGGCGGCGCGGCGGGCGGCGCGGGGGCAGCACGGCAACAGCAGGUGCAUGCAGGGCGGCGGUGAUGCCGGUCAGCUGCGAGCAGCGCCAUGCAACUACCGUAGUCGAGGGGACAACACAAGUCGGGGUCUCGGAGGGGUAGUGCAGGGUAGUGGCACUUGAGCGCAGUGUGACCUUGUGGAUGUGGUAUUAAGCAAGGCAUUUGGUGCUUGGUAAUGAUAAUCCGUAGUGCGACGGAUGUCUGGUUGCCGCUGCAUACAAUUAGUUAUUGAAUUUGCCCCUUUGUAACUAUGGAAGGAUUCUGACCUGUGGUGACGUGUGUGGUGACGAUGUGCAGGCUCGUGGCGCUGCAAAGCGUUAUCAAUGUUAGCCACCGUAAAUUUAGCGUUUGCUUUGGAGAUACUUGGUGGCGAUGGUGGCGAGUAGCGACCAAUGGUGCUUGAUGAAUCGCCCUUAUCAAUAAAUCAUUAAUGCAUGGCAGCCAUACCGUACCUGAUGCAAUGGUGCCGUGACCUCAUCUGUGUGCCGGUAUGUCCGUGUAAUACGGUACUCGCAAUGAACACUAUAUGUGUCAGUAAUUGACGCAUGCCACAUAAGAACGGGAGCCUGGACGUACCGCCCAUCGCGAGGGGGUCCACACCUGCGCAGGCCACCGCAUCCCGCUAGGCGAGGUGGUGGCAAGCACCCUCUGGUACAUCACUAGGUUGGCCCAGCGGAUUAACCCAGGCGUGAUUUUGGCGGGUUUGCCCCAGGGAGGGCCGAGUGAUCGAGACGGCGGACAUUGAGCGUGUUGUCCAGCGGCAAGUUUAUCGGCAUUAUCAAGAGAAAGUGAGUUGAGGAACGGUGUGGGAUGUGGGUGCGGGUCCACUGCCGUCACGACUCCCGCCACCCACGACGCCACAGCAGCGCCACCGCCACGAACCAGAACACCACAAAGGUGCCGGUGGACACCAUGUCGGUAAGCUCUGUGCGAAUGAGGUGAAUACAUGUUUUCAAGUUAGCGCAGGCUUUUAGGGAGGGGGCAGUACUACGGCAAAGACCACAACCCCAAGGCAUUGCCCCACUCCUGCUGGCCCCCAAGUCGCCCCAGUGCCCGCUGACCCUGGUUAGUGUUCACUAAGGCACUGAAGCCUCUGCGCUGUGUAGCGUUGCACUGCCUGGGACUCCGACUGUACGAGAGGCGCGUGCACGUUGCGGAUGGCAUCGGGCAGCACUGGGCCAGCAGACGUCGUGCGGUAGCAGUGUUUUUUUGUGUGGGCUUGAGGACAAGAAAUCUCUUACCUGAGGCCGCAAGCGUCUACUUUAUCUCCCGGAUAUACUUAGGGUCAGUUCGUACAGGCCCGGCCCGCCAUGCGUCCAGCCGCGUCCCGCUGCCAAGCACAAGCACGCAUUUACGCAUUUCAAAGCACAGCCAGCAAUCAACCAAACAGCAGGAACUCCUCUAGCCACAACAUUCCUCACUGCUGCGGCCUACCACAUACUGUGCGGUGCUAUGCUCGCCAGCAAAGACCGCUAACCAGACACCGGCCGGCCUCAACCUGCGCGCCGGCGCCGCUUCUUGGGCAACGCCGCGCUGUCCUCCACGUGGCCUUGCUCGCCCCCUCCGCUACGCACAUGCACGCCGCAACUGCUGGGCCCAGGCCCUGCGCCGCCGCCGGGCCCCGCGCCGCUGCCGCUGCCGCUGCUGCUGCUGCUGCUGCUGCUGCUGCUGCUGCUGCUGCUGGUGGUGGUGGUGGUGGGGCCAUGCCUCACAACAGCCAAUUCUCCAUGGACGCGCGAAGUCGCUUCUCGCUCCGGCUGGAUAUUCUUCUAGCUGUGGGCUUUAGGAAAACCGUUGCCCCGGACUAUGUGCAUGAAGCAUUGAGGGAACGGCUCAUGGGACCUGCUUGGCGGGACCGGUGGUUGCGGGCUGGGCUUCGGGAGGUGGCGGGCGAGUGGACGAGUGUGGACGGGCACGUUGCAGGUUGCGGCGAUGAGCAAGUUUUGAAACCCAAUAAAUCUGCCCCUUGGUGCAAGCUUUGGAGCUUCUGUAUAGAGUACAAACCUCGCAAUACAUUGGCAGGGAGCAUAGAAGUCGCAAAUGCUCCGACAAACCCCACGGCGAACUACAAGAGGAUAGCCCGUUGCCAUCACAAGGCUACAAACAUGAGCUUAACAAUGGAAGACUGCGGCCGCGUGGUCAAGUAUGUUAUAGACUCGGGCGCAUUUGACGAUGUUCGCAGGACGGUGAGUGCUGGAGCGCGGAGGGGCGACUGGCAGGUUGUAUGAUGUAGUGUCAGCGGGCUCAUAACGCUGCGAUGCCUGCAGGUAUGGAAUGAGCUGAAGCAGAGCUCCAGCCUGCGGGCCGCCGUGCUCGCGGAGGUGGAGAAGAGUGUCACCUUGAACUCCAACAGCGACAAGCGGCCAAAGGACACAAAGCAAAUCCUGGAUGACCUCAACCGCGAGCUUAAGUAAGUGCCGCGCUGGACGGGGGGACUGGCUGGCGGGGGGGGGGGGGGGGGCUAGACCGACGUGCUGGAGGGUGGAAGAGGCACACACGCAGGUCGGGACUUGGGGCACGGGAUGGGCGAACCAGCCAGCCUUAUGCACUCUUACCCGUGUGCCAGCGGCCGUAGUGUUGCGUUCGAGGGAUCAACACAAAAUCGACUGCAUCCCCUUGGUCUGGCGUGUGCAUGUGGUGACGAUGCCCCACGCCUCGCACUCCGUGUAGGAGCAAGCUGAACGACAUCGCCAGCAAAACGGCGUGGGACAUCAUCGCCAGCAGCACGGACAGCCAGGUGUCCAAGGACCUGGAGCGCAAGGUGCGGAGACUGGGGCCGCGGGGGCUGCUGCGGCAGUUACGGAUGGAGCGGGAACACAGCAGAGCUGGUCUAUGUGGACUAGCCAGCGUGCCCACUGACGACUGUGACGGGUUGGCAAGGUCAAAUGUUGCCAAGGUCAAACGUUUCCCCAUCACCCAUGUGUUGCUGUCGCCUGCUGCUCGCCAGGUGCACGAGGCGAUGAACCGGAUGGCGGAGGAGCGCGAGCUGCAGCAGCAACAACAGCAGAAGCAAAGCGAGGCUGCGCCUCUCACAUCCACGCCGGCUGCGGGACCAGCACGGCAGUCCUCAUUGGCCGCGGCGGAGGCGCUGGGACUGGGUGGCGCCACGACCUCCACCGUGACCACUGCCUUCCUGCCGCCCGCGAGGCCACUCGGGGCGGCGCCCGUGACGGCAUCGCUUGCGCCCGCCACACAGGCGCGCGACUCGCAGCAGCAGCCACAGCCACAGCAGCGACAGGCGCCCCGCUAUGGUCUAGUUGGGAACUCAUAGCCCGCACUCGUGGGCGUGCGUCGGCGAGGUGGCAAACCCUUGGGCGGGCGAGUGCUGUGCAUAGGUCGCAUUGCUCCACGGGGUUGGAACGUCGGAGCUGCAUGUCCGCGGGAGGGAGUGGGCGCGUAACGGAAGCUUCAGGUUGUGCGUUCUGAUACUUGCUAUAGACGAGUCCACGAGAGUGCAGUACGUGCACGUGCCUGAUACCGGUACCAUAAGGCCUCUAUAGAGCAGGUGGCUGGUAGGCAGGUCCGCUGCGAUGAGCCUGUGGCGGCCUUAGGGGAUUGUACUCAUACAUUAGGUUACGAGACUUUUCCCAGACCCCAACACUCAACAAUCAAGUUGCAACAGGAAGGCAUGAGCGCGCGGCUGGUCGAACGCGCGAGUAACUGUACCGACGAGUGCUUGCUGGCAGGCUGGUAGUACGGUAUGCUGGCGGCGCAUUGCAGGGCUUGUCAUCACGGAUGUCCCUGACGGGUUUCACACGGCAAUCAUCGCGCCGGCGUGCUCGGAGGACUGAAGAGUGGAGAGGAACGUCGUCACAUAACGCAUGAUGACUCUGGCUGCUGACGACGGCCAGGAAUGAACGAUAAGCGACGGUACAAUGGAGAACCAGGGCAUUGAACCCCUCAGGAUUUACUCACUUGUAAACUGUAAUCCUUAGCCCCCAGACGACGGCAAAGCAGCAGACACAUCACACGAGUCUGGCUUGUGGCAGCGUCCACGCUGGAUGGCUGCCCCCCCCCGGCAACGAGGCGUUUAGCUACGGGUUUGGCAUGGGCAUGGCCGAACGGGCACACAUACAUUGCCCCAUCUGGCUCCUCACUAUUGCCCCAGCCGAGCUUGCUGCCUCCUGGUCCCCUUACACUCUCGUGCCGCUCGUUGUCAUGCACCUGCCGUGUAGGCCGGCACACCUGCCUGGCCCCCGGCCCUGACAACACGUGUGAGAUGAUUCAGCCUGACCACCAACACCCCACAAAUCAUUUACGCCCAACAGUGCUUUCCGCCGUCGCUUUCCAGCCGCAGUCUUCAGUACAGCUGGUCCGGGAUGAGCACCUGCAGCCGCGGACAGAAGCCCGCGUCAGUUGCAGAGGCUCGCCGGUGGGAGUUUGAAAGGUGCGCAGCCACCAAAAAAGCAGCGCAACUGGGAACGCCGCUACAAAUCACAAGCAGCAUGACGCCAUGCAGACGUGGGUCGCUGCACCACGCCGUCCUCAUGACUCCUAUUCACCCGACCCACCCACACACACACCCACACACCCACCCAGCCACCCACCCACCCACCACCCCGUCGCAACCCCCUGACCAACCAUGUGCAUGUCUCUGGCCGUCUCCUCCAGGCUGAGUGUUUCAAAGUCGCCUGUGCUGUAUAACACUCGCGCCUCCCGCUGCGCUGCAUACACCUCCUGCGAACGCGGCACAGGAGCAGGGCGGGUUGUCGCGUGGGCGUGAGCAUGCGCAAUGCAACCCAACGCGUGGGCUUUCGGAGUAGACGGCAUCCCUACCGGUAUCCUACAUGGUAACACCCCCCCUUUUCGUGUCUGCGGUUUCUUACUGGGAUUGUCCAAACCCCCUGUCCAAGUCCAAACCCCCUGCCCACCUGGAUCUCGAUGAGGUACCACAGGUUGUCAUCUGGCCAGAACAGCUCCGCGUGCCGCCCCACCAGCCCGUCCCCAAUGUCCUCCAGCAUCAGGUAGCGCACGUUGCCGCCCGUGCUGGCCUGGGGACGACUGGAGGAGGCCUUGUAGCCUGGGAAAAAAGAGGCGGGUGAGCGCGUUGCAGGGGCGAGGAGCGUCAGUUGAGGUCAGCGCGAGCCUAGCUGAUAGGAGUGACGAAGCGCGAGCGAACGAGUGCAGCGGAGCAGGUGGGUCCACGUUCGCUCCAGCGCUGAGUUGGCCCUGCUCAAACCAAUGCACACCAAAGCUAGUGCCAGGACAGACCAGAUCAGCCCGCCGCAGCUGCUCUCCAUAACCGCUUCAGCAAGUCAGUCAUUCCCCAUCCGCACUUCGCCGCUCACCUGCUGGCGGCGGGCGCAUGAAGGGCACUGGGUUGUUGGCCUCCGCCGCCGCCCCCGGCUCCUCGUAGGCGGGCAGCGCCUCGAUCUGGUACUCCUCGAAUGUGGAUGGCUGAGCAAGAGGCGGUGCCGGGCCAUGUGAGGGGUGUGAGAGGGCAGGGUAAGAGUUCGUGCUAGGUGGUGGGCGGUAGCAGCCCGAGUGCUGUGACGUACGGUGCGUGGAGCAUGUGCAUGAGUGGCAUCCCCAUACAUCCGCACUAACAUCAUGAUAGCGGGUUACCCCCAGGCCAGUGCCCUGAUUUCCAUCCCUGUUUUUGCUGGCAACCCACGGUCACGCUGACUCAGAAUGCUGCCGCGCCGCCCACACUCCCGCCGUUUCCGCCCUACCCCUGCCAACAGACUCCGUUCGCACCUGUGAGUUGAGCGGCAUGGAUGCCGCUGCCGCCUUCUUCUUAACCUGCUGCCCGGCUGGGGUGGGCGCCCCGCCUCCCCCGCCGCCGUCCUCGUCUCGCGGCCGCUUGCCCUUGCUGGCCACGUUGGCCGCCGCUGCCGCCUUCUUGGGCGCCGCAGCAGGCGCGGCCGCGGGCGGCGGCGGCAGCGAUAGCUCCUGCUGCAGCGACAUGUUGAACUCGUCCAGUCGGGGCGUCUUGCCGCGGCCCGUGUCCAGAGUAAAGUCCUGCAGGUAGUCCAGACCGCCGUCCGGGUUGUUCUUGCGCAACUCCUUCUCCAGGUCGUCCGUCACGCGCUCCAGCUCCAGUGCGUGCAUCUCAAGCAGGUCGUGCGCCUGCUGCGCCAGCUGCACCUUUUCAUCCGCGAACUGCAACAGCAGCUUCUGGCUGGCGGCCACCCGGUUGAGCACCUCGUCAUACUCGGGGCCGGGCUGCUGGUAGGCUGGGGGCAGGCUGACCAGCGCGCUGGUGUUGGCCUGCACCUCAGCUGACAGGUCGUUGCACUUCUCAUCUAGCGCUUUAAUGGUGUUUAGAAUACGCUGUAGCUCCGUCGGUAGCGUGCCUGUGCUCUCCACGAAAGACUCCAGAUACAUGACGUUCGCUGAAUUGUGAAGUGCCAUGACGCACGGCUGUAUAACGAGCCUAGUAAAGCUAAUAGGUGCGGUAACAAGGUGCGCAAAGACUAAAGCUCGGGGGCCCGGUCAAAACUUGCUGCCCAGCGCGUCACAUCUUAAUGGCCAUGCAAAAGACGCAUAGUAUGCAGCGUGUUAGUAGUCGUGUCAAGUCGUGUCAGUGCCCAGCGCGGGAAAAGGAUCAAACCUUGUCCAAAACCAGCUAAGCUGACAACAAUCACGAAUAAGCUAAUGCGUCUUUAGCGAUAAGCAACAAGCGGAAUGAAAGGCGGACAUUGCGAUUGUAUGCGGCAUGCGCUGGGGCCUGCUGCCUCUGCUGUAAACUGCAGUACUCUACCCUACUGCCUAUGUCAUUUAACCAGUACAGAUGUCCUUACAAAUAGUAUUAAGGGACCUCGACGAAUCGAAACCUGCACUUGCACGACUCGCAAUUCUCGGCUAGGCUUGCUCGAGAGCCAGGACCCAUAUGGAUAGGAGCGGCUUCACCCGGAGGCAUGGCCAAUCAUGCUUGCUAGGGCAGUGGACUGGCAGCUGUAGACCAAACUCUGUCGUGUGCCAGGCGGGUAGGCAAGCGGCGAGCCGCCGUGUCUGCCCCGUCAGCGCGUGGCCGCAGUGCGCAAGCAGCUUGCGUCAGCGUUCUGGCUGCGCUGCUUCCGGCCCUGUGCACACGCACCAUGAAGCUGCCAGCUGGUCGGCAAGCGGCCCCAGCGUCAUCGGCGCUGGCGCCAGCAGCGAUGGCGACGCGCAGACCAGCUCCUCCCCGGCGGCAGGGGCAGCAGCUGACUCGCCGCCGGCGCAGUGGCAUGACGGUGACGUUCUGGAGCUGACCCUGGCAGACGGCCGCAGCGUAUAUGCGGAGGUGGAGGUGCCGGGCGCAGGGGCAGGGGCAGUUACUGCAUCUGUGUCAGGUACGGGAGCAGGUGGGGGCCGUGGAAGCUCAGCACAAGGACGUCAGCGCCAGCAGCAACAGCAGCAGGCACGGCGGUCAGGACGGCACCCACCUGCACCACCACCCGCAGUGGCGGCUGUGGCAGGAGCCAGCGCCCCCGCCAACUUCUCACCCCAUGUCAUAUGUAAUGGCGCCCGAUACAAACUGGAGGCGCACGAGGGCCAGGCUGCGUGGGUGCUGCGGGCAACGUCAGGUGCGCGUCGUUUGUUUAGGCCUACAGGAUUGCCCCUGCAUGUUCGUAAAGAGAUCUAAUCGGGCUUCAGCAGCAAUUCAUGACGUUUGGUACCGUAUCCGCUGCUGUUGCGCUUCACCUCCCCUUGCGCGCCUGUUCAAUACUGCCCUCCCGGCUGCAGGCGCGCUUGCGGCCGGGGACCCCCUGUUGGCCCUGAUGGCCACACCGCCCAAGCCACACACUGCCGCGCUGCGGGCGUGGGCGCCGCUGGCGUCUCAGCUGCUGCGACCUCCGGCGGGAGCUGCCCCUGCAGCACCGGGCUCGGUGGACGUGACCGCGCCAUCGGCCUCCAGCUCGCCGCCAGCCCCAGGCAGGCGCGUUGCGCCUGUGGGGGCGGUGCUUGAUGGCUGUGCUGUGACGACGGUGCGGCGUGUGGGUGGACUGCAGGAGCUGCAGCAGCAGGUGGCAGACAACCCCAGUCUGUGGUGUGACGGGUCAGGUGCGCCAGCCGCUUGGAGGGUGGCUGCUGUCACGGGACCAGUAAGCUCCGUGCUUGCUGCUGCAGCAUACGGUAACGCCGGCGGGGGCCGUCCAGUGUUGCAAGCCGUCCUGCGUGCGCCGCGUAGCGCCGGGCAUUAGUGUCAAGGGCCAGUUGUGGUGUACGAAUGACACCUGCCGGAUCAAAUUUGUUUGAUAGCAGAGCACUCAGUUGCUGUAGACCUCAAACGACCUACCCCACCCGCCCUGCCGGUCCCUAGGCCCUGGCGAACCGCCCCUGACCCCCGACCAGCUGGCGCUCUACACGGCCGCCGAGCUGGCGUGCCUGGCCGCAGGGCGCCGCGGCGUGGUGCUGCUGCAGCUGCACGUGGGCUGGCAGCAGGCGGCCGCGGCGCCGCCCUACGGCCCCUUCAAGCCGCUGGUGCUGCGCCUGCUGCGCCAGCUGCUGGCCAGCCCUGGCAAGGAGCUGCAGCUGGUGUCAUUCGCCAGCGCCGCGCCGGACCCAAGCAGUCCAGGCGGCAAGUCAUCCGCGGGACUGACCAUGGUGCUGUGUGCGGACAAGGAGCCGUUCAGGUCGUGGGGCGCACACCUGGCCGGCUUUGGAUGUCAGGUGCGUGCGUGCGGGCUUUCGUGGUAAUACCGAGCCGUGUUCCUGAACCCGUUAGCCCAGCUGCCAUGUCCACCCACGGAGCCGCGGCGUUGGGGCUCGCACCCUGUCUCCUUGGCAAGCUUCCUCUUUGAACGCGCUCCCCAGGCCGCACUGGAGGCCCAGUCCCCCUACUACAAGGCGCUGAUUGGGCGGGUGCUGGGCUACAGCCCCGACAACAUCGCGCACCACAUCCGGGUGAGCCGCGAAGGGCGGUGGGUAGCGCAGACAGGCUGGCAGGCGUGGCCAGACCUAAAUGGACGGAUGACGGGACUGAGCCAACCCCCCUCCUCCUUGCCACUGCAGGAGAAGCACGGGGCGCCGCCUUCCUCCGAGGUACUGGCGGCGGUGGAGCGGCAGCUGGGCGCCCUCAGCACAAAGCAGCCGCAGCUGCCCUGGACGGCGGGGGCGAGGGGCAGCCGCAAGAAGGCGGCUGCAUAGCCGCAUGCCUUGUUGGGCUGAUGGCGGUUGUAAACUAUCAGAGAUUCAGAGCGCGGAUGCCGGUAGUGCACGUUACAGUUGGAAUGUCGCCAGCUGUGAAAUCUCAGGACUGAUGGCGGUAGGUCAGUAGGUGGUCGCGAUGCGGGCACAGCGGCAGCGACACAGACAGCAGGACAGCAGCCUCGUGGUUACAGCUCGACGGGAAGCAAAAGCACGAUGUCACCAUCGCGUACCCGUCUAGAUACCAGACUCAACCCAGAGCUAUCAAAUGCACCGCCUGCGUGUAUCUGCUGUAAUGCUAUCGCCUGCUUAUGGCGCCCUAGAUUGUUACGCCAGGACACCGGAAUCCAGCUAGCCGACUAUGAAUGCCGGCUGCAGUGGGUAUUGAGUUCCACCCGAGGGUAGACCUAAGGCAUCGCCAUCAAUUCAUUCAAUUGCCAUGUUCCUUAGCCAUGCUACUCACGAUACGUAGUGAGCACCGGCCAUUGGGUCACUCUAUGGUGCAUUCAAGGCCUCCUGCCUAUUGAGUUGCCUGGAGUUGCUAAAUCCGCUCCUGCCGUCUACACCAAAUCCUAGCGCGCAUGCCCCUGCUCACACCGACGGCCCAAAGUCCCGAUUCUUGAGUAUGGCCGGCGCCACCACCGACCAGCCGUACAGCAGCGCACACGCCCAGCUGCUGGCCACCUUGACCCAGGUGGAGCCCCAGGAGGAGCGCGUGUCGGGCGUGAAGCCGGGCGAGAAGUGUGACACCUGCCAGUUGGUGAACAGCAUGGCGAUGUAGGCGGAGCUCCUGCGGGCGCGCGUGUGUGCGCGGACGUGCAAAACCCAAGGGGCAUCAGUCUAGGAAGCACGUGCUGGCGAUACACCGCAAUUGGAGUGAGCGCGGAACGUGAUACGCACGCGUUCAGUGCAGGGCCCGGGGGGUGACGGGCUUUAUGUUCGGUGUUCUGAGGCGGCCAGGAGCAGUGCAGGCUGUUCAGGUGCACGCUGCCGCGGGGUCUCACGUGCAGAACACCACGUGGAAGAAGUCUGGGCGGUAGGGCAGCUCCGCCUCGUCGCCGCCCUUGACCCCGAACAUGUCCUUGCUGGAGAUACCUGGGGGUAGAGGUGGAGGCAAGAGGGGGAUGGGUUGACGUUUGGCAACCGGCGCGUUGAGGGAACGGCUGCGUGACAGCCGAAACAGUGUGUCGUGAGGUAGCGACAGACGUGUGUCUGCAGCGGCCAACAGCGCGCAGCAGACGCUGCAUGCAGGACUAGGCAGGUCUAGGCGGGCCGCGUACGUAUGAUGCAUCUGAGGCGGGUCGGUUAGGCGGCGCCCCCACAUGGGGAGGCGCCCCCUGGCAUUACAUGCAACUCCCCCCCCCCCCUUGUGGCCCGCCGCGCACCCACCUGCCGAGUAGGUGGAGUACAUGACUGCAGCCAGAGCGAUGAAGAACGCGACCACACCCACCCAGCCCGCGCUCACGCCGCCGGACCGGGCGCAGUCGCUGGGCACGGGCUCGGACGCCAGCGCUGAGUAGAUGAGGUAGGAGCAGUAGAGCCACACGCAGCCGCUGGUGAGCAGGCCCGCGGAGGCCGCCCGGCCAGGGAUGAACAGGACGCCCACCAGCGCCAGACCAAUGAUGAGGUUCCACGUCACGAAGAAGAUGUUCUUGGAGGAUGGGGGGAGGCAUGGGAGUGAGGCAAGGUUCUUGACGAGCACGGGAAGGAGCACAGAUUCCGUUCUUAGGUCAAAGCGCCGGGCGCUUACGAGGCGCGUACUUAGCACGAAACCUAGUGUGCAUGUACACGUGCCGGUACGCCGUAUGCGAGGACAGUGAAUGCUCCAGCACGGUGGGGAGGCAAGUAUGCACAAACGCAAGGCGCCCAUCACCACCAAAACCCGAGUCGUGGACACCACUCACUAGGGAGCAUGAUGCGCGGGGCGCAUAGAAGUGGUAGUCUAUGCCGGUGAGGACCUGAACAGGGGGAAGGAGGUGAGGGGUAGGUGAGUGGCGUUGAGAGCCUGAGGCAUGGGCCACAUGCGCAUGAGGUCUACCGGCACAGGCCCCUUUCCUCCUGUGCACGGCACCCGGCGGUGAACAUUUGGGCCCCUGACCCACUCGUGCAGGUCCCGGCAACCUCCCUCCCCCCCCCGCCGCGCUCACCAGUCCCAGGCAGAAGGCCGCCACUGCCCCGCUAAUGAGCACCGCCCAGGCCGCCUUGUUGUCCGUAUCCACAAGCCAUUCGUUGAUCUGCAAGGCCGCGCAAGGCCAUGCGCAGCAAGGGCAAACUAUUACAAAAGCCGGAGGAACGGUUAACGGCCAUUGCGCUUCACUGUUCUUGCCAUAGUUCCCUACCCACUCCCCACUCCCCCCACCCGAGCCCCCGCUAUCUCCACCCCUCCCCCCCACCUCGUACACGAAGUUGACCAGCAGUAUGAGCUGCAGCACCAGGAACAGCCCACUGGCGUAGCGGCUAAACUGGCCGUAGCCGUACAAGAUGGAGCUGGGCAACCACAUGAAGCCGACCAGCAGGCCCAGCCAGGACAGCACCUGCAAGUGGGAGGUGGGGUAGGUGGGCAGGCGGGCACUACGACGCAGGGCAAGCGCGAGGGGUUAUGGUGGAUGGGUACCAGACCCGAUGCCCUGAAACACCGCCCUCAUCACGUGCAUCUCGAUAAGCUCCCCUGCCCUCCGCGCACCUGCCACACCCACAGCCCUGCGUGUAGGUUCACCCGCACGUCCUCCACCCUCGUCAGGGCAACGCAAGCCAGGAGGUGUGCCCCGAAGAACACCAGGUUCGCCAGAGACACACGCAGAGCCACCUGAGGCCGGAGCGCAGGAGCGAGCGACACCAAAUGGACAAGGCAAGGUGCUGAGUUGUACUAUACAUGGCCCCGCAGCCACAUUGUCAGACAGAUAGGAUUAGCCUGCGCGCCCCCCAGUUCGCUAAUGCCACCCACACUACACCCCCACCACCACCACCACCACUACCUCCACCCGUCACCCACACACCUGCUGGCCCGCGCACUCCUCGACGGCGUCUUGGUUGUCAGCCUGAGGCAUCAGGCCCGGAGUAAGGUGAGGCAUGUGUUGGGUGGCGGUUUUCGUUCAUCAUGCGCGUCGUAAUGCUCGGCUUAUGCACUGGCCCGUCACCAGGAGUCAGGGGCUAGGUACCCGACCGCGCCCCAGCCCAGCCCCCGGCGCUCACGGCUCACCGACAGGCAGUCACUGAACGAGCUGAUGUUGUUGGCCAUGAAGCCGCCGCCGUAGUCCCUCAGACACCACACCUGAGCGUGGGUGCAUGCCGGCGUGCGUGGCGUGUGCGUGUUGAUGUGCAAUGCAGCCGUGCCGAGAGGUUGCGGUGCGCAAUGUGAAGUAGUACCUUGCAUCACCUCUUACCGCGAUAGCUGUCGCCGAAAAUCCAACGCAGUAGAACCAUUUGGCUGCUGUGAACCGAGUUCUCAAGCCCACGUCCCAGGCAUUGCAGCAGAACAACGCCCGGCACAUGCUGCCCGCUGCCUGCCUGCUGAGUCCGCUACCUGCUACCUGCUACCCGCGGCAAGUCGUCCACGCUCUGAGUGCCACCGGCUGGUAAGGCGCCUGGGCUGUUGUGGUCACGAUUGUCUCUGUGCGAGGCGUUGGGCGGGAUACGUAACUGGACGGGUGCAGGUUCCCCAGCAGGUCCUGUCCCGCAGGGUCGGCAGCGGCGCUACCAGGCAGCGGGUACCUACUAAUCGUUACCUUCAGACGUGGCUGAGGGUGCGAGUAUGUAACACAAGUAUCAAGUAUAGCAGAUAUAAACAGUAGAGGCCCAAGCUACUUGCAAAAGGCUUCCGCUGUCUGCAGCUGCACUCCAGGACCGCGCCAAAAUGAAACAAAGUCUGAAUGCUUUGUAAGCUAUCAAUAGCGUUUUCUCAUGGAUUGGACGCUCGCGGACGCCCAGUUUGGAAAGGCCAAGACUCGUCCGACCAGUUGAAGCCGAGAAUGCGUUUCUUGUAUAAUCACAAAGAAGCAAGAAUGUUGUGCAGAUAGGGAAUAUUGAGUGAUGCAUGGUAAGCGAUCCGAGCUGCGUCAGUGGUAUACGAUCAAACAAGGGAAACUGCGGGGAGCCGUGUCUUGUGUCCACCACGGUCCACCAGCCCGACCCCCCCGCCUCCAUUCUGACCCUGGUAAUGGUCCUGACACUCGACAUCUAGCUGCCCAAUUCAGCUCACACCGAAUUCAUAACAUGCAAUAGCUACACCUAUUCCAGUCAAAGCUUGAUGAGCCCUUCAACUGACACAUCGGUGGGCGCCGGUGUCUCCAGGUUGGUUCUGUGGCCCAGCGUGUUUUCCGGUGCCUCCAGCGCCUACCCGCCAGCCGUCCGCCAGCCCAGCCAUCACGUCGACCAGCGUCUACGCAGUUUGCCAGCGGCGGCCCUCGUCAGCCCUCUGUGUUCAUCGUCCAUUUCGUCUGCGCUACUUGCGGUUGACAACCUUUUCCAUCAUCCUGCGUCCUACUGGUUGGGCUCGGCCCAUAACCUCUCGACCCCGCCCAGACACAGCCUACAUCCGACUUCAAGGGGGGUCGCUCACGAGGGCACCAGGCGCGACAGUAGCGUGUAUGUUCCUCCCGCCACCAGCAGUACCCCGCUGGCCGGAGUCACCCAGGCCGAGUACUGCCGCAGAGCCAGGAGCUGCUUCACAGUGCCCUGAGGGAAAGAAGGGACAGGACGAGGGGGCAGGGAACGAUAUGGACGCGAGCAAAAUGAAAGAAACGGGGACUAGACAGGGGGCGCAAGACGGGGGCGUGUAUUCGUGCUGUAUGUGUACCUGCAUGUAACACUGCGCCUUCUCGUAGCUCCACCUUCAUGCCGCCGCACCACUAACGCACCGCUGCCGAUCAGGUGUAACCCAGACACCAGCGCACAUCCCGAAUUCUCAACCAAGAAGCAGCCUCAUCCACCCUGCAAUCCUUAUGUCCUCUAUCUCUGCCCUCUGCGCCUUCUCCCUCAGCGCACGCACCGUGAACGAGGCCGCCAGCAGCAGGGGCGCCACGUAGCCGCACGUGUAAGCCAGCAGCAGGCUGCCGCCUUCCAGCGGGUCGCGGGUGGACGACACGUACGCCAGAAGCGUGGCUAGAACCGGUGUGCUGUUGAGGGGAAUGGAGUGUUCGGAUCGCUUGCGCCAUGACAAAUAACAAUUAGAUGCGACUCAGGUGGGGUGCUAGUGGUUACUGGGAUGUAUGGAGGGAAAUGCAAGCGUCGCGAGAGGCGUAGUGCGACUCAUUCAGACGUAAGCACUGCUCAAGCUGACGAUGAAAGGGCUACAAGUCCCGCACAUGCGCCACACGCGCACAUAAUGCACAUGCAAGCCAAGCCCGCUCAUACGCCCACCCACCUGCACGGAGAUGCCGCCAGUGCGAAUGUGGCGCCCGCCAGGUACGCCUGCAGCGCUGGGGGCACUGGGGCCUUGCGCACGUCCACAUCCGGCAUCAGCGAGGGCAGCUGCAGCUGCACCACCUCCAGCAGGUUCAGCCCCAUCAGCACCGCCACCAGCCCCACCGCGAUGGGCAGCUCGUUGCCGAUCUGGCCGUAGGCGCGGCCCAGGAAGGAGCUGACCACGCCCAGCACCGCUAGCGUGGUGGCCAGGCCGAACGAGAACGACACGGCCUGCAAGUGAAGGGCCAGUCAUUGAGACUAUGUGAUGCCCCUGGCGCGCUGUCAGGACCCGUGCAUCCCAUCCACCCGAUACUGGCAACUGCUUUUAUAGCUCACCUGCAGUCCCAGGUUGGGCUUGCUGGCACCAUUGCCGUUGUCGUCCUGGCUAUACCCGCCGAUGUACCCGAUGGUCAGGGGCAACACGCUGAGCGUGCAAGGCGACAGGCUCGUCACCAGACCCGCACCCAGCACUGCCAGGUAUGUCAACGGCGUGACACCUGCGUGUUCAAAAUCCAAGCGCGCUUUAGCGAGCUGGCCCCAGCGACGUCUGCCACACACGACGCACCAGUGAGUUGCUGCGACACCAGCGCAUCGGCGCUUUGCCCUGCAGCGAAAAGCCCUUGUACCAGAUCCUGGGCUUGGUCAGAUAGUUCAUACAGUUCCUGGGGCAGCAACGAAACAGCAAAUUAUCAUCCAUCAGAAUCUCUUUGUGUAUUCCGGCCUCGACUGCUGCUUACCUGGCCGGACACCGCACGCAGCUGACGUUUUAGCGAUUUUGAGCUAGCGACGCGUACAGGACAUGGCUUGAACAGUGCCAGCUGACGACUAGGCAGCGCGUACAAGUUGGUGUGGCACUGAGGCUGCGCUAAAUGCAUGGCGGUUCGCAUAAUGUUUGCAGUGAGAUUGAAAUGCUGAGCUGUAUAAACAAAUCCAGCUGAAGCCUUGGCAAGGCAGGCUGCAUUUUGGCUGCUGUGUGCUGCAUUGGCUGCGGUAGACUCUCCACCCCCCAACCCCCAAUCCGGCGCCCGCCCCGCCUCCACGCAAACCAUGAAACACGCAACAUCCGUCGCAAUUCACACUCCACGCACCAACAACACGUCAACAACUGCGCAAACUUGUAACACGCGCCCCGAGCCUCGCCCCCCCACACACCCACACAAACGCCAGCUACAAAUGGCCAAGCCCCAAACUGGGAUGCAAGUACACAUACGAAAUUAAUCAGGUAGGGUUGAAGAGCUAGUCCGCGACACGAUGGCCCCCCCCAUCAGCCGACGCCCGUGGAGCGAUGAGAGAGCUCACCCUGCGCUUGCACCACCGCACACGCGCCAACCAACGGCGAAAUGGCCGCGCAUUUGCACAGUGAAAGCGCCAACACAUCCCCGGACUAGCCCGCCAACAAGCUUCGCCCGCAGUCGGUUGCAAGUGCCUGGCGAACCUCCAAAUCCCAAACUGACCCACGCCCCGCCGAAGCACGCCAUAUCUGCACACUGCGCGGCGCGUAACACCGCGCAAGCGCACCCGAAGCCCAUUGAGGUGCCCAUCCGUGCAACCCGUCCCUGCCGGCGCCUAAACUUGUCCGCCCGCCCACCCACCCACACGCCCGCAAACCACCACAGCACACCACGUUGAGCACUCCAACUGCACGCACGCGCUCUGUACAACCACCAGCACAAUCCCCGAGCCCCCAAGUCGGACGGGGCCUGUGAGGCAGCCUCCCGCCUCGCCCCACAAGCCCACAGCCACGCCUCCCCACAACCCCACUCACCCGACCUGCUCGCCGGGGCCGCUCGCCUGCGCUGACCAACUGCUUUGGCUGCUCCAGGCUGCCGAAGCCAGCCCUCCCGCCCCAACUGCUGAAUUCGCUGCUGCAUCCAUGAGGCACAUAGAGAGGCAAUAGUGUGGACAUUUCUCUCGUUACAAUCCCUUCACCACCCGGCUGCACCGGCCGCACACGCUCCACAGCGCCAGCACGCCCGUCCAAAACGCGCGAACUGAACGUUCGCCGCAUAGCUCCAGCCGCCAACUCAGCUGCAUCGCAUGCGGCGGCCGCCAGUUCCACGCCCAGAGCUCCACUCCAGCUUGCUACAGGCCGCUUACUCCUCGUCCUCAGCCUCGUUGUCGGCAAUGUUGAAGUACCGGAGCUCGUAGACGUUGCGGUCCUUGUUGGAAGCAAUGACGCGCAGCCAGUCGCGCACGUUGUGCUUCUUCAGGUACUUCUUGGUGAGGUACUUCAGGUAGCGCUUGCUCAGCUGGGACUCAGCAGUCACGGUGACCUUGGUCUUCUCCUUGGCCACCUUGAUAGAGUCGCCCAGCACGCCGGUCUUGCCGUCCACCUUGAUCUUGUCCAUCAGGAACUUCUCAAACGAGGAGAUGUCCAUAAUCUUGUCCUCCACCGGCUUGGAGCAGUCGAUGGUGAAGACCAGGGCCUUCUUCUUCGCCGCGCCCUUGGCGGCCGGCUUCUUAACACCCACGGCCAUUUUUUUGAGCUAGCGGCCUAAAAAGCACGAGAGAGAGGAAGGUAAAUGGUCGCAAACUGACUAUACAGGGCCUUCGCGAGCGGCGGAAUGGGCCGGCGCCGAUUCCGUUAAUUUCCUAGGGCCCGAGUUAUUUGGCAAGGCUAAUUCUCUGGGUUCCAUGCAUCACAAGUUGAGCCUGUACAUAAACCAGGGGCAUGACACCGUCGUGACAACGCCAGCCGAGGCCUUUUAACGCACCGACCCCAGCCUCCUCGAGCUUGUAAUCAACGGCCUUGAGCCUGCAUUAAUGUUUCUUAGUCUAGUGUAGCAAACAAUGCCUUCGGGACUGGUUAUAGUCACUGUGCCCCACACGCGCAGACACCCACACGGCAGUGUGUCCCUGCACUCAAUGUGUCGCUUGUGCGCUGGCAGCGUUUUGCAACUGCGGCAAUAUGGGGCGAGAAACUGUUGUCUCAUUAUGGUACAACUGAAUGUGACUUUGGCAGCGUGAAAGAGGAUGCGUGUCUGCGGCGGGCUGGCGCCGGGCAAUCAUGGGUGGGACUACCGCUCGUUACCGGCGCAGCCGCGCGGCUUGUUCGCUGUGGCUGCCUUCACUGCCACCGCCAGCCUCACACAUCCUACCUUAUGAAGCUGGCGGUAUGGGAGCGCUACGCUUAUGCAUGCUGGGACGCACGUGCGCACGUGCACAACUAGCUGCACUACGGUAUUAGCAGAGACUUUGGGUUGCGACCAGAAGGCACGCUCAGGGUGUACAGCCAUGGUGUACACAGCUCUGAGGUGUACGGCUGGCACGGGGUUCGUGCAGGCGUUUGAGAUGCGCCGUGUGCGGUCUGCCGUGCCGCAUUGAGGAGUGCCGGUGGACUACCCAGCGCAGCUGGUCGACCUCAAGGCGCUGCAGGAUGAUCUGACCAACACCAAAAACCGCACCGAACAGUGGAAGCCCUCAAACGGGUGUACACGUGGACGAGAGAGUGGUUACAGUGUCCUCCACGGGUGCGCACCCCCUCCCUCCCCCCCCCACCCACCCCCUCCCUCUCCCCCCCCCCCCACACACCCCCCGCAGACCGGUGGGCACCAGAUGUCCGAGGCCGCACACUGAUGGAGGCUGCAUGCUGGUGGAGGGACAUGGCUUGGGAGUGCAGAGCGCUGACACGGCGGUGGGGUAGAUAGAGGGACAUGGCGUCCUUAAUUUGUCCAUGCGUGGCUCACAGAACCCAAGACUCAAAUGCUCCAAUGGGGAUCAAAUGCCUAACACGUUCAACGGCACUUCAUGGACGCAUUACGUUGUUCUAUUGGCGAUCAACACACUGUGUCGGUGUCGCGCGAUGGCAGUUAUUUACGGCGUAGAUAUGCCGCGCCCCUUUGUUUAGAAGCGGGCACGGGCCCUGGGCCCAGCGGCAGUGGUGGCGCGCAUGUUCGGAGCAGAGGGGGCGGGCAAGGCCACGUGGAGGAGGACAGCGCGGCGCCGCCUUCAAAGCGGCGCCGGCGCGUAGGUUGAGACCUGCCGGUGUUGUCUGGUUAGCGACCUGUGCUGACGAGCAUGGCGUAGCGGGCAGUCGGCUGCAGCGGCAGGGGUGUUGAGAGGUUUUCCUUGCUGUCUGGUUGGCCUGCUGCCUGCUGCACUAGUGCUUGAUUGCUGGGCGCGACUGGGCACAUGGCGGGCGGUGCCUGCACAAACCGAACCCGGCUACGUCCGGGAGAUGAGGUUGUUCGUGGGCUCAGCCCACUUUUCCCUUGCAAGGGAGAGCCACCUUUUCUUGUUUAGAAACGGGUAAAGACAUGUUGGUUGGAUGUAACCCGUGAGAUGUAACCUCUGCCGGUACCCAUCGUGGCUUGCGGAUCGAGCACAGCUGCACCCUUCCUGACAGACACAGAUUAUAACUGUUUUCCUUGGCUUUCUUACUGAGUGAACAUGAAAUCCAGCUAGCGUGACACUGCUUUUAAUUCUAAAACAAUUGCGAUCGACCGAUUGUCACAAACACAGUGCAGCUUGAGCCGUCCACACAAUGGCGCUUGCGCCUCGUGUUUCAGUGCUUAUCGCUGCCCUAGCGUUGGCGGUGGUGUGCGCAGCGGAGGAUGCCGAACUUGUGAAGUCCCACCUGAAGUCCUCAACGUCUGUUCUGUUCUUUGACGAUUUCGACGGAUCCGACUGGAGCGAACGGUGGAAACACUCCACCGCCGACAAGUACACGGGGCGCUUCACGACCGCCCAGGCAAGCAGGGGCGCGCGUGGUGCACAACCCCAACCGUGCACACAGUGUGUUGACCGGUUCAAGAGGUCCAUCGCCAUCCCUUACGCCCCAUACACACAUGAUGUAACUCUGCAACGCUGUCACCCGCAGGCCAAGGACUGGACUGACGCGGGGCUGAAGGUGGGUUGGCCCCGACGGGUGAACAAGCAGGUUAACUAGCAGCUGGACCGCCAGCACAGCCCUUCGCCCCUGCCGUCACUCGUCCACUGCCCGCACCGCCACCCUGUGCAGGUGCCGGAGAAGAACAAGCACUACGGCGUGGUCGCACUGCUGGCUGCGCCCGUAGAGCCGGUGGUGGGGCCGGGUGCGCCGCUGGUGGUGCAGUAUGAGGUCAAGUACAGGUGGGGGCGAGGGCAGCAGGAGGGCGGCGGGGGGUCGCUGGGUCAGGGCCGACAGGGCCAGUUACUGACAUGGCAGAAGCGCGAGCCAGAACUGUGGCCGGGGCUGUUGGGGUGGGAGCCGGACACACUGGGCCGAUACAUUGCGCUUGGCGCGGGCGGAGCAAGGCCACGCAGGGGGACGUGCGCUGGUGGUCAGUGCGCUUCGCAUGUGACCACACUGUUCCUGCUCUGGCCUCCCUCUGCGCGCCCUUUCACCCUCAGCGAGGGCGUGACCUGUGGCGGCGCCUACCUCAAGCUGCUGUCUGCCGACUCCGCCCUGGCGCCCGAGGGCCUAGUGGACUCCACCCCCUACUCCAUCAUGUUCGGACCCGACAAGUGCGGAGGGCCCGGCAAGGUGCGGCCGAGGGCAGGCGGAGAUGUGGGCCUAAGCCGUGGCGAAGGGCCUGCAAGCAGCACGAUGGUGGCAGGUGGAAGCCGUUUGUGCACUUACUCGGUGUUGAGAUUUCAGAGCCUGGCCGCGCUCAGUAUACUGCUCCCGUUCUUGCACCCACUUUACGCUGCCUCCUUGCAUCGCAACUCCAGGUUCACCUCAUCCUGCGCGCCCGCAACCCCGGCAACGGCACCAUCACUGAGCGCCACCUGGCCUCACCGCCCGUGCCCGACGCCUCCGACUAUACCCACACCUACACGCUCAAGAUCAGGUGUGAGGUGUGGGAGGGAGGGGCGUGGGAGGCGGGCGCAGGCACUAGGCUGCAGUUUUAGCCAUGUAGUCGUUGAGGAGCUCUGGGGGCAACGAUCUGGUGGUGUUGGUGCUGGUAGGGGUGAUGUGCCCGAGUCCAGGGGGCAUGUGUGUAUGCUUGAAGUCUGCUCUAAUUCCAAACGUGCACGACUGGAGCAUGCCUGGCCCGCCCACCUCCAUAGUCCGGACCACAAGUAUGAGAUCUCCAUUGACGGCGAGGUCAAGUCCAGUGGCGACCUGCUGGCGGAGGGUGUGGUGGCGCCGCCGCUGCGGCCGCCGCGCGAGGUGCCGGACCCCGAGGACACGAAGCCCGCCGACUGGGUGGACCUGGCCGUGUGAGUGCCGGCUAGCCCCGAGGCGACCUGGCGGGCGGGGUAGUGCCGGGCAAGUGGACACGGGAAAGUCCGCGGCGGAUGGUCAAGGCGACCCCGUUGUUGCUGGCCCUUAGCUGCUAGCCUAGCUGCUCUUGAAAGUUCACACGGGUCCAUUGCACCUCCGCCAACGAGCCUUGAACCAUUCCUCCCCUGACUGUGCAGUAUCCCUGACCCCAACGCCACCAAGCCGGCUGACUGGGACGACAGGGAGAAGGUGGAGGACGAGGCGGCGACCAAGCCGCGAGGUGGGUUUGAGGCCAUGAACAGAGGCCUGCGGGUGGGUUUGUGGCACGUGUGGUGGAUGCCCGGCACCGACGCUGUACACCAUGCACACGUGACAGCAUACCAGGGUGUACCUGCCCCACUGCCUUUUGGCUGCUUCAGCAUUCAAAGCUUAUCAUGGCCUCCCCGCUGGCAGGCUGGCUGGACAACGAGUCACCAAUGAUUGAUGACCCAGGUGCGAGAGGAAGGGGCUGCAACAUGAGGCUGGGUCGGGUGGUCUCAGGUGACGCGCGCAGUGAAGCUUGGAACAGCUCCACCCUG